rnacentral:lncRNA from 1 species
UUGCUAUGUUGGUCACACAUCAGGAGCCACUGUGGAGAGAGAUGGAGCGAUUAGAUCUCGAAGUGGUAGCUCCGAAAAUCCCGUCUAUGCUUAUGGCUCUCGUUGUCCAACCGACCUUGUUGGAGCAGAUUAAGAGUUUGCAAUUUGCAGACCCCAAUCUCCAAAAGGUGUGGCCGGACAUCAAGAGUGGACGCGGCGGUGAUUUCAGGGUAGAUGCUGAGGGUGCGCUUCGGUUUCGAAACCGAUGGUGCGUACCAGAGAACGAGGAGGUCUGGAAGUUAAUAUUGCAAGAGGCACAUCGGACUCCUUAUAGUAUUCACCCGGGUGGCACUAAGAUGUACCGUGAUCUGAAGAUGCAGUACUGGUGGCCGGGCAUGAAAGCAGACAUUGGGCGCUAUGUAGCGCAGUGCCUUGUAUGCCAGCAAGUGAAGGCUGAGCGUCGAUUUCCAGCGGGAAAGCUCCAAAGUUUACCUAUUCCUGUUUGGAAAUGGGAGAAUAUAGCCAUGGACUUCGUGGUCGGAUUGCCCCGUUCGACGGGUGGCCACGAUGCGAUCUGGGUGAUUGUGGAUCGUAUGACCAAGUCGGCACACUUUCUACCGAUUCACACCACCUGGUCGGGUGACAGAUUAGCGUAGGUAUAUCUAGAUGAAGUUGUGAGGUUGCACGGGGUUCCAAAGUCGAUCGUGUCAGAUCGAAAUCCUCUUUUUACUUCGCUUUUUUGGAAGAACCUGCAGGAAGCACUUGGCACACGACUCGAGUUCAGUACCGCGUUUCAUCCUCAGACAAAUGGGCAGUCAGAGAGGACUAUACAAAUUCUGGAGGAUAUGUUGCGGGCGUGUGUCAUUGACUACAAGGGUAGUUGGGCAAACCAUUUCAGGAUGGCCGAGUUCGCCUACAAUAACAGUUAUCAAGCUAGCAUUGGGAUGGCACCGUUCGAGGUCCUAUAUGGACGGAAGUGCCGAUCCCCUAUAUGUUGGAGCGAUGUAGGUGAACCUGCGGCACUGGGCUCAGACAUAUUGCAAGAGGCGGAAAAGAAGGUCCGUCUCGCUCGCGAGAGGUUACUUACAGCUCAGUCGAGGCAAAAGUGCUAUUCUGACAAACGCCGUAGAGAUUUGGAAUUCGCGGUAGGUGACCGCGUUUUCCUGAAGGUUUCGCCGAUGAGAGGUGUGAAACACUUCGGAGUGCGGGGAAAGCUAAGUCCCCGAUAUAUCGGACCGUUCGAAGCGUUGGAACGUAUUGGAGCAGUAGCAUAUAGACUGGCAUUACCGCCGAAGCUCGCAGGCGUGCAUAAUGUGUUCCACGUCUCCAACCUUCGUAAGUAUAUUCCCAAUCCCGAGCAUGUUAUGUACUACGAACCGCCAGAUCUACAAGAGGUUUGAGCUAUGAAGAAUUUCCGGCGAUGAUUAUUACUUGAGAAGUGCGAAAAUUGAGGAACCGCGAGAUUCCCUACGUGAAGAUUCAUUGGACCAAUCACAGCGAUCGUGAGGCUACGUGGGAACUCGAGGAAUCGAUGAAAGUGCAUUAUCCUCAUCUGUUCACGGAAAUGCAUUGAGGUAUGAGUUGUUGAAUUCGUUUCGAAGACGAAACUCCUUUUUAGGAGGGGAGGAUGCAAGGAAGUGAAUUCUCGAAAUACGAGAGUUAGACUUCAUCCAGAAUCGAUCAAGGGUCGUGUUGGUGAGCUUUGGAAAAGCCAAAAAUGUCAAAUCACCAAAAGUGCAUUGGAAACGAGUCCACGAGAGCAAAUAGUGCAAAAUCUGCACUGGAGCAAAACUGCUCUCGGGGACCGGUCCCUGGCAGGAAGGGACCUGUCCCAUCGGCUGGUGGUUGCGGGGAUCCUUGAGGCAACCGGUCCCUGGCAGGGAAAGACCGGUCUCCGAACGUGAUCCGAGCGAGAAAAGCCAAAAUUUGGCUAAGUCCCGAAAAUCCUGCUCUCGGGAACCAGUCUUUCGGUCAAGGACCGGUCUUCCGGAGACCGAUCUCUCAGGGAAGGACCGGUUUCCGAAUGCGUGACCCGAGCUGAAGCUCUCGGGGACCGGUCCCAAGUCGGGAAGACCGGUCCCUCUAGGCGAAAAAUGCCCAGUGAGGGGCAGUGCACAGGAGUAAAAGGUGGGGGACUUAUGUGGAUAUUGUUACAAUAUGAGGUGAAUGGGACCCCUCCUCUCUCUCAUCUCCUCAUUCCACUCUCCCUUUCUCUCACACUCUUUCUCCCUCUCUCUCUAGCAAGAGAAGAACAAAGGAAAGAACAAAAAGGAGAAGAAAAGAGAAGGAAAAGAAGGAAGAAAAGGAAGGAGAAGAAGAAGGAGAUCAAGCUUGGGAGGCUUUUGGACCUCUCCCUCUUCCUCUCUUCUCAUUUGGAGGCUACACAANACACUUCGGAGUGCGGGGAAAGCUAAGUCCCCGAUAUAUCGGACCGUUCGAAGCGUUGGAACGUAUUGGAGCAGUAGCAUAUAGACUGGCAUUACCGCCGAAGCUCGCAGGCGUGCAUAAUGUGUUCCACGUCUCCAACCUUCGUAAGUAUAUUCCCAAUCCCGAGCAUGUUAUGUACUACGAACCGCCAGAUCUACAAGAGGUUUGAGCUAUGAAGAAUUUCCGGCGAUGAUUAUUACUUGAGAAGUGCGAAAAUUGAGGAACCGCGAGAUUCCCUACGUGAAGAUUCAUUGGACCAAUCACAGCGAUCGUGAGGCUACGUGGGAACUCGAGGAAUCGAUGAAAGUGCAUUAUCCUCAUCUGUUCACGGAAAUGCAUUGAGGUAUGAGUUGUUGAAUUCGUUUCGAAGACGAAACUCCUUUUUAGGAGGGGAGGAUGCAAGGAAGUGAAUUCUCGAAAUACGAGAGUUAGACUUCAUCCAGAAUCGAUCAAGGGUCGUGUUGGUGAGCUUUGGAAAAGCCAAAAAUGUCAAAUCACCAAAAGUGCAUUGGAAACGAGUCCACGAGAGCAAAUAGUGCAAAAUCUGCACUGGAGCAAAACUGCUCUCGGGGACCGGUCCCUGGCAGGAAGGGACCUGUCCCAUCGGCUGGUGGUUGCGGGGAUCCUUGAGGCAACCGGUCCCUGGCAGGGAAAGACCGGUCUCCGAACGUGAUCCGAGCGAGAAAAGCCAAAAUUUGGCUAAGUCCCGAAAAUCCUGCUCUCGGGAACCAGUCUUUCGGUCAAGGACCGGUCUUCCGGAGACCGAUCUCUCAGGGAAGGACCGGUUUCCGAAUGCGUGACCCGAGCUGAAGCUCUCGGGGACCGGUCCCAAGUCGGGAAGACCGGUCCCUCUAGGCGAAAAAUGCCCAGUGAGGGGCAGUGCACAGGAGUAAAAGGUGGGGGACUUAUGUGGAUAUUGUUACAAUAUGAGGUGAAUGGGACCCCUCCUCUCUCUCAUCUCCUCAUUCCACUCUCCCUUUCUCUCACACUCUUUCUCCCUCUCUCUCUAGCAAGAGAAGAACAAAGGAAAGAACAAAAAGGAGAAGAAAAGAGAAGGAAAAGAAGGAAGAAAAGGAAGGAGAAGAAGAAGGAGAUCAAGCUUGGGAGGCUUUUGGACCUCUCCCUCUUCCUCUCUUCUCAUUUGGAGGCUACACAAGAGGUAGGCUUCUAACCCUAGCUUAUGAAACUUAGGGUUUUUAGGUUUUGGGCUUUGAAAAUGGGGUCAAAUGGACCCCCAGCACCAUUAUUGGUGGAUGAAAGCUAGAGUCAGGGUUUCAAAUUGCAAAUGGCAAGAUGGGAACCCUAGGGCUCCAAAAUAGGGUUUUUGAUAAAGUAUGAAUUGAUCUCAUUUGAGACCUUGUAAACCUAAUUGGUAGGUGCCAAAACGCGGAGGCGAAGUCGGAUUUAGCAUUCGUCAAGUGGGUCGAGAGCUAUCGGCAAAAUAAGGCCUAUUGAGCAUCAUUUUGGACCAAGAAGACCGAGACUUCAUCGUAACGUUCGUUGGAGGGCACUUCUAGAGCCUCCAUACCCUCAAGAGGUGGGGGGUGUCACCCCGAAGCAUCCGGAUUUCUCCUUAUGUCUAAGUUAAUUUUAUUCAUCAUAUGUUGAUUGUGCAUUAUAGGAUUAGUAGAAGCAUAUUUCCACUCCUUGCAUGCUUACUUAGUAGUGUAGCGGUAUGGGCUUAACACUUGGACUAGGGAGGCAUGAGGAUUGGGUCUUGAGACAUAGAAUCCUAUAGUGGCAAAAGUGAUGAACUUAGACAUAGCCUAGUAGAGUGGCAUUGACUAGUGUGGUAGAAACACUAAACUUGAACGAGUGGCAUGUCGACUAGUUCGAAGAUAUUACUACAACGACUGAACGAGUGGCAUCGAGUCUAGUGUAGUAAACAUGACAUGAUUCUUGGGAUAGUAGAGGUCUCGGCAUCUAGGAUGCAUUGUAUAUUGUGCAGCAGAGGCACAUUGACCCUUGUAGAUAGAGUAUCCUCUUGUAAGGAUUGGAUCAUACUCACUAGUCUAUUUUCGCUGUCGGUGGUCGCUCCACCGUGGCACGAGUCUCUGGAGUACUUCACUAGGGGCAGACAUAGUUGUCCCGUAGACGGUCUCGGUGUGCGAGUGUAGCUUCUCCUCACCUAUGAGAUUGAGAGUGAGUCGAGGGUUUAACCUACGGGUUAACUAAGUAGAUUAGGUAAUAAACAUGGAAUGCAUAGUAAACUUACAUUAUUACCUUGAGUAGACAUAGUGUAUGUUGUAGUUUACAUUACUAUGCACUUUUAUAUGCUCAUGACAUAAUACUAGCAUGAUAGUAGUUGUUGCAUGCAUUAUUAUCAUUGAUGGCACGAUAGAGUAAUUGCAGUUUGUUUCUAUAUAUCUAUCUAUCUCUCUAUCUGUGCCAGCUUAGAUCUAGUGGGAAAGCCGGCGACAUCGGCGGCUGAACCCACUGGGAACUAUAUUUAUAUAGUUCUCGCCCCAUGUGGUUUUGGGAUACAGGUACACACAGGGGCGAGCCGAGCGAGGAUAGCGGCAAGGGCAUAGCGCCCUAAGUGAGUUAGUUAGUAGCUUUUCCCUUAUGCAUUAGAGUACCGCCGUGUACGAGACAUGAUGUGUAUUUUGGAUAGAUAUCGGAGAGCUACUUGUAUAUUUUGGAAGACAUGUAUUUAUAUUUUGGCAGAUGAAAAUGUAAUGUAAUCAACUUAUGUAAAUGUUGAAUGGUUGUAAUAGCUAGAUAUUUCUCUCUUUAUACACUUGUACAUUCACUCGUAGUUCUUGCUCUUAGUUAUAGUGCACUAGUGUGCAUCGUGAUUGAUCAUGUAUGUUAUUUAAGCAAUUCCUGGGUGCUUAAUUAUACUUGAUCAGGUUGUUUGGCCUUGGGCGGACAGGAAAGGUACUGUCCGUUCGGCGUCCGUCCGCCGUGCCCAAACCGUGCCAAAUUGGUAGCGGCAUCGGGGCGGGGGCGUGACACCUAAAUAUAUUAGGAUUGGGGUACGUUUUGGUGGAGUUUUAUAAAUAGCUCUUGAUGGGAUGCUUUUCGAGGGAGUAGGUACGAGAGAAUGCCUUCUUGGGUGCAACAGUACUAGGAGAGAGAAAAUAUAUGCUUUGAGUGCACCUAGUGCAUGGAUGCAUGUAGAGAGUUGUCUUCUUUGUGGCUUUAUAGAAACCGAGAGAAGGGUAAAAGAGAUUCAAAAAGAGAGCUCGGUUUGUAGCUACUCUAUUGUAGAAGAGGAGUCAGGUGUAAUCUUCUUUUAUUUAAUGACUCUUAUUUUACCCGCAUAUUUUCUGUUUUUGUUUUUUCUCUCUUUUAUGAUUGUAUCAGUUUUUGCUGAGGAGACGGGUUUAUGGUAAAAAUCCGAUUCAAUUCUUCCAUUGCGGAUUCCCAACAAGCAGUAAUGGAUCAACAACAGUCAGUAUCGGAGCGGGUUGCGGAUUCUCAAAAUUCGGUACCGGGGCGAAUACUGAAUUCCCCACAUUUGGUACCGAUUUAUAUUAGUUCUGCUUACAUUUUCUUUAAAGUCUCUACUUAAUCACAUCUUUUGAUUUAUUAAGAAACUUUUGUCAACUAACUGUAAUUUAUUUAUCCACUGCGAAGCGCAGGUCCUCUACUAGUAGGUAUAAAAGGAAGGAAUUGUUGUUCCACCCUCUAAACGGGUUGUAUGACCCGUUAAGAAGGGAAUAUGAAAUUCUUUUGUCGUUUGGGAAUACGGGUUUAGGGUUUACCACCCCGCUCUUCUCUGUACCUCUCCGACACCGAUCUCUCUCCUACGAGUAAUCCCUCUCCGACACCGAUCUCUCUGCUACGAGUAAUCCCUCUCCGACACCGAUCUCCCUCUCCUACGACACCAACCCUGCGGGACAAGCGAGGCACGAGUAAUCGCUUGUAGAGUUCGAUGUUUUGGCUUCAUAUCAGUGUUUUUGAUGCAAUUUUCGCUUAAUUUUCUCUGUUUCUUACGUUUAUUAGGCUUCUAGCUGCUCCGAUUUGGUAUUAGUUGCUUGAAUUUGGUACUACUCGCCUCGACCGAGAGAGACCCGUUGUGUCUUGCUUGGAUUGGGGUUUUCGAUUGCCCGGUUGCGGAGGUGAGCUCUCUUUGUGUGAUUGGGGGCCGAUCGGAUUCGCUUUUUUCAGCUACUCGAUCGGGAGCUCGGAGGACACGAAUUCGACGAGGUAAUCUGUGAAUCUUCCAUCUCAUCCUGUUGAUUCGUAAUUGCUUAAUUCCUUUGCUCUCAUGGAUGAUAUCGAGCUCUAUGUUUGGGAUUUGAUUAAUCUGGAACUGGAAUUUGAGGUGAAAGACCUAGAGAUCUUACUUGAACUGUAAUAAAAACAUGCAAUUUUGAAUUUUGGUAUCUGAACUGUAAAACUUUUGAAUUUUUUAUCUGAAUUGAUGAAUUUUAAAUAUUUUGAUUCUACUAGCUUACUUUUCGGAAUUUAAUGGAAUUGCAGAAUUAUUUUGUUUGAUUAGGAAAUAUUUGAUUAAAAAUGUUAUAAAUACAGUAAAGUUAGAUAGUAGAAUCAAAAUUUUCAAAGGUCGUGUGUCAGUGUUUCGAUAAAUAGUGUACGAUAAGGUAGUAAAAUAUUUUUUUUUUGAUGCUCAGGUAUCUAAUUUUAAUUGCACUGUAGUUCAUAUUAGGCGUAUAUGUUUUUACCAAAAUUUCGACCUUCUUACGCUGAACUUCAGAGGCAGGAGCAUUCUGCAUUUGAACAAUGAUAGUCCCAAUCAUGCUGAGAAAGUUAAAAAUACCUUUAUAUUCAAUACAUUUGUUCUCUGUCAACUCUUCUACGAUUGAGUCAACAUGAAAUUUAAAAUUUCAGUCCAAAAUCAGUUUAUUUUUUUGACAAAUAGGUCUCUUUAUUUACAUCAAGUGAAAACUAUGGCAUGUCAAAGUAAGUUUUGCGAUUGGAGAAUUUAUUGCCCGGGAGUGUGUAGAUUAUAUCUUUUAUGAAUUAAGUUCUUUGUAAUUUUGGUCAUAAUCUAAGCCAAAGGGUUUCAACUAACUACCAAUAAUUUAACUUUUGCUUGGAUCUUCUUAGUCUGCUAAACUGAAAGCUAUCAAAGAGAUUUUCAAAAGUGCUAUCAGAAAUAGUGGUUUUAAUGGAAAUCAUGAUAUUUGUAGGGACUUUCCUGCAUUUUAGCCUGAUGAAGUUAUGAUAAUAUCCUGGUGGUUUUAGAUUUCAUCUUUCUACCUAGACAUCAACAGUUGAUUAUUGGAGUUGAAUUUUUUGCAUUACUCUGUAUGAACUGUGUUCUCAAAUUAGGCUCUAAAUUUUACUUUAAUUGUUGCUUCACUUGGUUUUGGGGGUAGUGAUUAUCCGAAUGUUCAAAACUAUGAUUGUCUUUUAUUGCGUGAAUGUAUAGUGUUAAGUCUGGCUUGUUUUGUUUUGUUUUUUUGUUUUUUCCCUACUUUUCCGAAGUUGGCGGAGAAAGACAGAAUUCUUUUUAGUCCAAUAUGUGACAGAAAGUUUUCUCUAGAUGACUAAAUCAAUAUUUAGAUUCUUGUUCGGAUAUGUGCCUUCUAUUCGAUUUGAUGGUUUUCCAAAACAAUCACAAAAGACAUUUCUAGUGUUAAGGGGAAAAAAAAAAAUCUAUAAUAGGUUUUCUCUGAUAACAAACUUCUAUACAGAUGUAUUUGACCGGAUCACCAUUUAUUUUUACCAAUUAUUUAUUUGAUCUACAUUAUCUUUUAUAAUUAUGAGCUUUCUUUAUUUUAUAGGCUGAUUUUACAACUUCAUUAGUACUGUAUUGGAUAAAAGUUGGAUAAAAAAGAGUAGGUGGAUGUCUGAAUAUUACAGAGUGAAUGAUUUUGUGGAUUUUGCUUUUAAAAUGCGCAGAGGAUGGGAGGAUUUCAUAUCCUUGUAUGAAUGCACAAAUUCCUAUAGUUGGACUCGGGAAAUUGUACGCGAUCACCUAAUUUGCAAUGGAAUUAGUCCUAAUUAUGAUAAUUGAUUGUUUUACGGGGAAGCCAUAUCUAGAGACACAUCUAAUCCUACUAAUGAGAGCCGUAGUUUUCCGGUCCAUAAUGUGAAUGUUACUGUAUAUGACAUGCUACGUGAAGCUUUUCAAAUGCAUAAUAAUCAACUUCAAGAUGACUUUCGAGAUUAUAGUGAUUUUCAAGACACCUAGGGAAGGUUCUGAUUCACAACAACCUAAAGAUGCUCCAAAUGAAGAUGCAAGUAAAUUUUAUAGGUUACUUAAAGAUGCCGAAGAACCUUUGUACAAUGGUUGUGAGAAGUAUAACGAAUUGGCAGCUAUUGUAGUUUUAUAUCAUUUGAAGUCCCUUUACGGGUGGAGCAAUAAAUCGUUUAAUAUGCUCCUUGGAAGUACUAAAAGAUAUGCUUCCUUCAGGUUCUAAAUUGCUGGAUGAUUGCUAUCCCACGAAAAAUAUAUUAGGGACCUAGCAAGUUUAUUAAGUGAUACAAAUGACUAUCUUAGUUGAGUUAGAAAUGAUGUAGAUGAAACUAUAGCCAACAAGACGCUUGCUUCUGAAAACUUAUCACAAGAAGACAAAUACACAGAGAGCUCCGAGCUUGACGUUCUACAAGCGGUUGCUCUAACAAGUAAAGCAAGCGAAAUUGUAAUGUGGAUUUUCUUUUUAAUAUCUAACUUAAUGCAUGCAAAUAUAAAACUUGAUAUGAAUGGGCUUAACUUUUAGUUAUAUGGAUUUUAAGCUUUAUUAUCUACAGAUGUUAGAUGAUGCUAAUUGUUAAAAUAAAAGUAAUUGUGGCAUGUUAGAGUUUGGGCAUUUUGUUUCAAUAUCAUAAGCAAAUUAAAGAUAGGAAUGUCAUUAUUAUAAAAGUUGUAGUAAUUGGGUUGAUUUUUAUCUGGUAACUUUGGGUGCAUUGUGCUUGUUUUCUCAACUUUCAAAUUGUAAGAAUUUGGUCCUAACCUAUAUAUUUCUCACUGUAAACAAUAACUGCCAUUUACGUGGCUUUUCAACUUAUUAUAUGCGCGAGGAUUUCCUUAUAACAGCUUCUCUACUCAAAAGACGGAAAGUUAGGCAAUGAGCGCCAAUAGAAAAUGCAAAGCUUCUUUGUCCGUGGAAGCUUUGAAGUGUACUUUUAGGCAGUUACAUAGAAGUUCUAAUUUAAAACUUUCAUUUCUAGCCACGAUAUCGAUUGUUAAAUUAAAUAAGUGUAUUCAGACAAUUCACAUCAUCCCUAGACAUUCAAAUCUGACGAAGUUUCACUAGAAUCUCAAUGAUUCAAUUAGUGUCCUUUAGGAAUAGGAAUCUAACAGUAAACUUUAUUUUCAAUUCUAGGAGAACUUUAAAGGGUAAUUCGUUUCACCAGCUUUCAGCAUUUGUGGGAAUAUUGUCUAUUUUAUAUUCAGAACAACAAGUUUGUUAUCAGCUUAACCAUGCCAUUUUAGUUGGGAGGAUUUUAGGGACUUGAAUAUUCUUUUUACUGGGCUACUCAUGAUUUCUAUCAAGUAUGAAAAUGGCGGAAUCUCUUAUGGUCUUGUAAUAUUUCUAUUAUAGUAAUUUCACAAGUUUGCCAACGUCUCUUGUAGCUUUCCAACUUGAGUUGCAUGGUGACGAUUUGAAUAUUUCAAAUAGACACUAUGGAGGAUUCCCAUAAUAUUGCAAACCAUGAAAUGAACAGGCCAACCUAUAAUAGAAUUUCACUCUUCUUUUCCUUCCUUUUUUCCUACAACAUAUAAAAUUUUGGAAUAUAAAUUAAUGUUCAGAAGUUCUGCUCAAAUAGCAGUUUUACAAGAAGCUCCGUUGGAUUGGAUUUGGGAAAUAAAGCUUUAAAUGUAUGCAUGGUCUCUAUAGUCCAACAAUUUUGUUUUUUUUUUACCAUACUUGGACUGAAAAUGGGCUUCUUUUAGCCCAACAACCACUUUUAGCUCAAACUAUACAUUUUUAAUAAAACCCCUCGGAGUUGUUGUUAUUUUAUUUUACUCUUGUGAAGCAAAGAGAGAGAGUAACCAUGGCAGUAGCCUCCAUACUAUUCUCACCACCACUAUCCAAAAACUCACCAAACAGGUAAUAAUCUCAUCUCUUUUCCCAUCGAAAUAGCAACUAUUUUAACUAUUAAUCCUUCAAUAAUUUCUCUAUUUUCUUUUUUUCCCCUCCAAGGAUACUUCAGAAAUCUCAAGCUCUGAGAAUCUCAUCCGAUUACUCCCAAUUCGAAGUAUGAAUUAUGGUGUUUUUUUUGUCCCUUUUUAAUUUAAGUUAAAUCCUGCUCUCUCUUUUUCUUUUUUCUGUGAAAGAUGUGGUUCUGAUGCGUAAAUCGGAAUGGGGUGGAGAUUUGUUUAGGGUUUGUAAUACAGUAAGGGCAUGUGUAGUUCGCAAUUGGAUUUGGAAUUGAAAACGAUUUGAUUUAGCUUGUCAUUUGAAUAGGAAACGAAAUGAAUGAUUAAUGAUCACCGUUCGUACAAGAAUUAUGUUCUAUUGUUAUAUUCGAUGUUCUUUUGCUCAUGUUAUAUAUUUAUACCAAUGUUGUUCUCAUUACAUUGUCAAAGAAAUAUGAAGGGCUAUAUUUUCUAGAGUAUUCAGGAUGUUUAUUUAAACAUAUCACUUAUUGAAGCUCAGAGGGGGAUUUUUUUGAAAAUAACCCUGUAGAAUUUUGUAAUUGGCAAAAUGACCCUCUGAAAAAUUUAUUUGUAAAACUAACCCUCCUUUCGCCACGUCGGCGCCAGCUUGGACAUUUCUCGUAAAGACGGUGAAUCGUUCACCGCCGUUGCAUAUUUCUCGUGAAGGCGGUGAAUGGUUCACCGUCUUAUGAAGGCGGUGAACUAUUCACCGUCUUUAAAGCAAAUACACCCCUGCUCCCCUUACAAGGCCACUCUUACAAGGCCACCUUACCUGUGUACACCCCCGCUCCCCUUACAAGGCCACCCUUACAAGGCCACCUUACCUGUGCCCUCGAUAAGACGGUAAAUGGUUCACCGUCUUAUCCGUGCUGCACUAAAGACGGUGAAUGGUUCACCGUUUUAUCUGUGUAAAAGCCCCCAGUCCAGGACUUAGCCAUUUUUUUGCGGGUUUCUGGAUUUGCACUAAAGGCGGUGAACCAUUCACCGCCUUUAGUGCAAACAGCACCAGGUGCUAAUUUCUGCUCAAUUUUGGCGUCAAUUUCAACAAGUUUGAAGCAAGUUUUUUCACGAUAACAAAUAUUCAAACAAGAAACACAACACGAGUGGAAUAACAAAAUACAAUCAACCGGAUAAACAUAUCAAACAAAACACUUACAAAUAUACAAAUAUGAACUAAAUCAAGUAUUAUAUAAUAUUAUACAAAGUAUGUUCUCUAAAUAAAAAAAAUACAAUCAGUCUCUCGAUCUUCCUCUCCCUCGACGUCCUCGGCCACGUCUACGGCCACCCUGUACAUCGAGCUCAGCAAUAGGUACGUCAUCAAGAGCCUCAAUACCGGCCAUCUGAUCGAGAUCCGCAAUGAUAAUGCCCUCGGNAUAUAUAUAUAUAUAUAUAUAUAUAAAAUACAAAAUAAAUUCGAAUUCGGGUUGGGUUCAGGUUCGGGUCAGGUAUAGUAAAAAUCCAUAUUCGUCGGAUUUUUAUUUUUGAUAUCCAUAUCCGAAUCCAUAUCCAUUUAGUAUCGAAUAUAUCCGUUUUAUUCGGAUUCGAGUUCGGAUUAAAUUUCGGAUAUCCAUACCAUUGGCAUCCCUAUUCCCGCUUUGUGGGAUCUACUUAUACGGUUCGGUUGAAUUUAUGGAAAGCUAAUUGGACUUUUUUCGAAAAUAACCCUGUGAAAUUUCGUAAUUGCCAAAAUAACCCUGUGAAACUUUUAUUUGUAAAACUAACCCUCCUCUUGCCACCUCAGCCGCCAGAUCAGCGUUUCUCACGAAGACGGUGAUUCGUUCACCGUCUUUGGGGACCCAUUUUGAAUGCGGUGAAUGGUUCACCGUCUUCUCUAGGCGUGGACCAUUCACCGCCUUCUCAGCAAUUCCCUGCGUACCCUAAGGUGUCUCGAGAAGACGGUGACUUGUUUACCGCCUUAUUGAGCCGGUGAAUCGUUUACCGUCUUAUCGAGGCUUCAACCAUUCACCGCUUCCUCUGCCUGGAGAAGACGGUCACUCGUUUACCGCCUUAAUAAAGGCGGUGAAUCAUUUACCGCCUUAUCAAGGCGUAAACCAUUCACCGCCUUCUCAGCAAAUCCCCCGCCCAACAGCCCGGGUUUGUGGCAUAGAUAAGACGGUGAAUUGUUCACCUUCUUUUGAGUAAAACUCCCACCCAGCCUAAUUUGGUUAAGUCCUGGUGGCCGGGCUAAAACACCUAUAAGACGGUGAAUCGUUCACCGUCUUAUCUGUUGUACACUAAAGACGGUGAGUGGUUCGCCGUCUUUAGUGCAAACACCACCCAGUCCAGGACUUAGCCAUUUUUUUUCCCGGGUUCUUGGAUUUGCACUAAAAGCGGUGAACCAUUCACCGCCUUUAGUGCAAACAACAUCAGCUGCUGAUUUAAGCUUGAUUUAAAAAAAAAAUUCAACAAGUUUAACGCAAGUUUUUUCACGAAAACAAAUAUUCCAACAAGAAACACAACAUCACGAGUGGAAUAACAAGAAACAAUCAACAGAAUAAAAAUAUCAAAAAAAAACCCCGAGAAAUAUACAAAUAUGCACUAAAUUAAGUAUUAUAUAAUAUUAUACAAAGUCGAAGUUAUCUAAAUCAAAGAUAUACAAUCAGCCUCUCGAUCUUCCUCUCCCUCGACGUCCUCGGCCACGUCUACGGCCACCCUGUACAUCGAGCUCAGCAAUAGGUACGUCAUCAAGAGCCUCAAUACCGGCCAUCUGAUCGAGAUCCGCAAUGAUAAUGCCCUCGGGAUGCUUUGGAAUCGCCUGAGUCUCCUCUGGCUCAAGUCGAUCACCCUCGAUAGUGGCCGGUGUAGAUGCUAGGCAGGCCUGUGAUGAUGACGCGGCAUGACGUCGAGAGUAGACUAAUCUAAAGUGCUCUCGAGAGACUGGCGGCGGAAGCGAGUCCAAGUCCAAUGGCAAGGAAGGAAAUCUUGAAGGGGCGGCGAGUAUAUCUGCAACAUCACUAGGAGAUGGAGAUCGUGACACUCGUAGGCUCGACCUCGAGUAUGAUCCAGUCGAUGUCGGUGAGUGUCUCCUGUGAUGACCCGAUGUCGAGGGUUGACCAAAAUCUCGACCUCCAACAUUAGCAGCGACAGGUAUGGAAGGAAUGUACUCCAGUACUGACUCAAUAUCGACAUCCAUGCUCGCCAAUGUCUCCAUCAUCGCAUCGUAAGAAGGUCGAUCAUGAACUAGCCCUCUGAUGCCCAUUUGAGUCUGUCGUAAUACGUCCACCUGCAUUAUAGAUAAAAACUCACUAUUUGCAAUCUAUAUUAACUAUAAGAUUAAAAAAUAAAUUAACAUAUGAGUGAUCGUACCAAAGCUUUCUCAGUCUGGCCGCGAGGCAGGUAAGUCAAUGGUGGACGCUGUACUGAACGAGAAAUCCAUCUUCUCGUGAUCUGCCAAUACCACUCCAUAUAAAUAGAUGUCGCCUGAACCGGGUCAUCACCGACAAUUGGAUGCUGGUCAAUAGUAGCCUGUAAUCGCUGUCCCCAUCUCUCGAUGUGUGCAAAAUGAAAGUGGGCCCAAUCCUCAUCUGGUCGCCCCUGAGAUGUGAAGCGACGGAUUGUCUCCACGUGAAUUGGUAUAUGCUGCAGGAGACCAAACUGCCGAAGGACUCGAUCGGGCACGUGAAGCUCAACGAUAUGAAAACAAAUUAGCGUCGUCCGCGAUCGCCAUACCGCACUGUCCUGUACACAGAAUGCCGGCAGCACAUCUAUAACAGCAUCUGUGUACGGCCGCCAUGUAAUCUGUGAAAAAGCUAAUAAUAGUCAGCAGAAUGCAUUAAUACGGUUGAAUAUUGAAAAAAUGGUUGCAUUAAUACGUACCUGGGACUCUCGCUGCUGAUCUAGCUCAUCUCCAUAGAACUCAAUAUCGGUCGUCCUAACAUUUGCCCCAAAACGUAAACCGUCGGCGUUCGUCCACCUAAUAUUUGAAAAGUAUGUUAAUUCCAAAUAUAUAUACAGAAAUGUAAUAUGUAUCAUAUUUAAUUGUGUAAAAAAGUGAAAAACUAGGUUAAAACUACGUUACCUAGUUUAAAAUGGGUGUACAUGUUUAUAUUACGUUCAAACGUAGUUUAACCUUUAGACCUAGUUUAAAACUAGUUUAAACUAGGUUUAAACCUAGUUUAAACCUUUGAACCUAGUUUAAACUAGGUUUAAACCUAGAAAUUAGGUAGGUUUAAACCUAGAAAUUAGGUAAUUUCUAGGUUUAAACCUAGUUUAAACUAGUUUAAACCUUAAGGGUUUAGGGUUUAGUUUAAAACUAGGUUUAAACCUAGUUUAAACCUUUGAACCUAGUUUAAACUAGGUUUGAACCUAGUUUCUAGGUUUAAACCUAGUUUAAACCUAGUUUAAACUAGGUUUAAGGGUUUAGGGUUUAGUUUAAACCAGUUUAAACUAGGUUUAAACCUAGAAACUUGCUAAGAGAGGUUUAGACUUGCAAUGGGUUUAGGGUUUAUACUAGUUUAAACUAGGUUUAAACCUAGAAACUUGCUAAGAGAGAUUUAGACUUGCAAUGUGGAUUGCUGUGGCACGGGGGAAGGCUCGGUGGGUCGACGGCGACCGGCGGCGGCGACAUCGGCUGGGGCGGUGGCGACUGGGGGCGGCGACGGGGGGGUACGGCUCUUGGUUGGAGAGGGAUGGGCAGAGAGGGAGAGAGAGACAGAGAGAUAAGAGAGAGAAAGAGAGCGAAGAGAGAGGGAGAGGUGUCGGGGUCGGGGCUGGGUAUACCUAGGUAAGACGGUGAAUCGUUCACCGUCUUCAUGAACAUAGUGAAGACGGUGAACGAUUCACCGUCUUAUCUAAGGAUACCCGCUGGCGGGUGUCUGCAAUGAAGACGGUGAAUAGUUCACCGUCUUUAGUGCAGCACAAAUAAGACGGUGAACUAUUCACCGUCUUAUCUGUGUUUUAGCCCCGCCUCCAGGACUUGGCCAAAUUUCGGGUGGGUGGGGGUUAACUAUAAAGACGGUGAAUGAUUCACCGUCUUAGUUAAGACGGAACUAAGACGGUGAACCGUUUACCGUCUUCUCGAGGGCACAGGUAAGGCCGCCUUGUAAGGGGAGCGAGGGUGUAUUUGCUCUAAAGACGGUGAAUGAUUCACCGCCUUCAUAAGACGGUGAACCAUUCACCGCCUUCACGAGAAAUAUACAAAGGCAGUAAACGAUUCACCGUCUUUACGAAAAAUAUCCAAGCUGGCGCCGACGUGACGAAAGGAGGGUUAGUUUUACAAAUAAAUUUUUCACGGGGUCAUUUUGCCAAUUACAAAAUUCUACAGGGUUAUUUUCAAAAAAAGUCCCUCAGAGGUUGUAGUUUUUAGAAGAGGUAUGAACCUGUCGAACGGGGCGAGAGUUGUGCACUGAAUUUGUAUUCAAUUAUUGUUCGAAUGAGCUCAAAUGGCUCAUUGACUAGUGAAAGGCGUGCUUGCUAAAAGAAUGAACAAAUUAGCUUCUGUCAUUAAGAAUAUUUGCAUUCUCAUGCUAUUUAUGUUGCUUCCACGUACAUUUUUAAACGUUGUUUUUAUACGUUUCUAAGUGUUUGGAGCUUUUUUACCAAUACAGUUGAUUUAUUUAAGGUGAGAAAAGUCAGUUACCGACCUCCUGGUACCCAACACAACCUAUUGAAUGAAGUUAGCCUUUCCCUGCCAGAGAAAAGGUAAACACGAGAAGUCCAACAUCAGUUUCGCAAUAAGCACCAUGAGAUGCGUUAAAUUUUGUAUUACUACUGCUGAAUCCAUGGUCGCUGCAGCUUUGGCUUGAUAUUUGGACGCAGUGGAAGUGGGAAAACCACUCUUUUACAGGUCCGCCCUUCAACACUUUUAGUUCAUAGAAAAUUGCUUUGCCUUCUUAUAUUAGCUUGUGGACUAAAAGUUCUUUUCCUUUCCUAUCUUUUUUAUUCAGCUUUUGUCGGGAUUGUCCGAACCUACCUCAGGGUCAAUUUAUGUUCAGAGCUAUAGCAAUGAUGGAAAUCCAAAUCAACAUCCUCAGUUGUUGUCACCAGAGAGGGUUGGCAUUGUUUUUCAGUUUCCUGAGAGGUAUGAAAUGCUGCAGUUAAUUUCAUAAUGUAAAUCUAGUUGACAAGAUAAAUCUAUCAUAUUAAAUUUUUCAUUGUUAGGUAAUCUUUUAGUCCUCUUAGCCUGCAUUGUGAUUCCGAAGUGUCGUGUGGUAGGUUCUUUUUGGCUGAUACAGUGCUUGAGGAAGUUACGUUUGGAUGGCCAAGACAGAAGGCUGACCUUCUCUUACGGCAACAGCUUGCUUUGAAACUUCAGUAUGCCAUUAACUCGGUAUAACAAUUGUUGCUUGUACCUGCCAUGUUCUCUUUUCCAACUUAUUUCAUCAUUGCUCAAUUUUUCAAGCAAAUAUCAUUAGUAUUCAAUUUAGUAUCCUAAGUUUGAAACUCUGCCAACACCAUGCUUAAUGAUUUACUCUUUGAUUUGACCUCAAUGCAAAUAUGAAUUGAAUUCCAAUCUGAAAGGAGCAGAAUCUCUUUGCAAUCCUGACAAGUAAUUCAGGGGCUAAAUUUGUAAUUAAUCCUUUCGGUAACAAGUUAUGUAAGUAACUUAUUUCAAGUUCUGAGAGCUUCCAAAUUAACAAUUAUUUCAUGAAAACUUUAUUCGAACCUCAGGUUGGUCUGAACACAAUAUCCUUGGAUGAAGAUCCACAUACUCUAAGUGGUGGUUUCAAGCGGCGCCUUGCCCUGGCUAUUCAAUUGGUAAGUUAUCCUUUUGUAGUUGGUAGUUCAACCUCUAUGAGUGAUUAGCUGAUACUUUUUUUUCCACGACUCGAAUUAAUCUGUUUUUCUUUUGGGUGCAUAUAUCCAGGUUCAAACACCUGAUCUAUUGCUAUUAGACGAGCCACUUGCAGGUCUUGGUAGGACAUACUACACCUAUGCAUUACUUUCUGAAUUGUUGUUCGCAUAUACCCCUGCCAGAUAUCUAUAUGUAUUUAUCUUUGCAAGCUUGAAUUUUCAUUGUGCCCUUAAAAAGCUUGUUCAUAUAUUAUUCAACUGACAGAAAUGCCCCUCUUAAAAUAAAACUUGGUAAAAUCACAGAAACACAAGCUGAGUUACCGUGCAUUCUGCAAUGGGUACUUGAACUUUACACUAUUUUGAGUUGAAUAUGUACUUUUUAAUCAUUUUUUAUUUCACUACCACUCCAUCAAAACUUAGCGGUGCUUCUAACUUUUUUGAUCGAUAUUAUGUAACCUAGCAGAAUAUUUUGCUAGUUAAUGAAAAAUUUUAUUUUAUUUUUGUUGGAAACCAUAAAGUUACUAUGAAACCUCAGGGUGUAGGUACCGAAAUUAAAACCUACUUUUGAAGUUUGACAUCUCAAAAUGUGUGAUUGUUUAGUAAGUAUUUGUAUGGUUGAAGCAUAAACUCUUUUUCGACAAUACCAACUUCUGCUAUGAAUUGGAUGUCUUAACAAAGCUAAUUGGUCUUUCAGUAAUGCAAAAACAUAUUGAGGGGUAUAAUAUGCAAACAGAUGUUUCACGUAUGUGUGUGUGCGUGCACGUGCAUGCGUGUGCAUGUGAUUACCUGACUAACUUUAGAAUGUUCAUAUUAGAAUAUAAUUGUCAACGAUUUAUUUUAGUUGUUUUUUUAUUUAGUUAAUCUCGAGAAAUCAACAAACUUUCAUCAAUUUUAUUUUUGAUUUUUUGUAUGUCCUUUUUCCACAUUUGAGAUUAGAUUGGAAAGCUCGGGCAGAUGUUGUGAAGUUGCUAAAGCACCUAAAGAAGGAUCUCACUAUAUUGGUUGUGAGCCAUGACCUAAAGUAAGUUUCUCUUCCUUCUGCUCCAACCACAACCCCCAGUAAUUUAUUAGGUCUAAAAAAAGAAUUCUUUAAUUCACAAUUUUCUCUCAGAAGCUUAUCAAUAAUUCUUCUUUGGAGUUCUUUUUACCAGAUGAAAUAAAAAUUUAGCAUCAAAUUGACCGAAGCAUCUGCACACAUUACAUAUACAGAUAACAAUGAUUCGGGUAUAACCAUUGUUUUAAGAAGAGUAAUAUCAGAUAGCUUUAUGUUGCACUGUAACUUUUAGAGCAAGGCAACAUGUAGUGCAUUUAAAUAGAAGUCAUAAUUUGUUAUAUUUUCUUAUGUAUCCCAGUAACCAUGCUUGAUAAUACAAAAUAUCUAUUAUUUGAUAUGAUUAUAUAAUAUUAUUAUUAAGCGAUGUUAGUUGCGAUAUUAUAUUAUAGAAUUGUUUUUUGUUCAUUACUUGCCAACUUCUGAUAAUCAUAGUGUUAAUAUACAAAUCAUGAUAAGUAGUUUAUAGUGACGUCAGAGUAAAAUCAGAGUAGUACUUGUGUCCUAUUAGGAGCACAGAGGCCUUCCUCCUCCUAAGCCGUUUUUGAUGAUGGGACUUCCGAAUCGACGAUCGGCUCUGUUUGACUUAAUCUAGCAUAUUUGAACUAUCUAGAAAAUAAAUUUUGCGGUUUUUCGAUAUCAUUUAUCAAGUGAUCGAAAUGAUUCAAAAUCAACGACUGAAAAUAAAAAUCUCACAGAGUUAUGAUGUAGCACUAAAAUUUUCGAUCAGAGAUAUUAAUCUUGUUGUAAAUAGUAUAAAGAAUUUUUUGUCAAAAUUUCAUCUGAUUUGAAUACUUCUACACCGUGAAACUUACAAACGGCGUACAUCAAUCAUUAAAAAUUGUUGAUUUUGAAUCCUCUCAACUAGAUAAAUGAUGUCAAAAAUCCGCAAAAAUUAUUUUCUAAAUAUUUCAAAUGCCCUAGAUCAAGUCUGUCAGAGUGAUCGUUGAUUCGAAAUUCCCGUCAUCGAAAAUAGCUUAGGAGCACGGAGGCCUUCUAAUAGCACACAAGACCUACUCGUAAAAUCAUCCUAUAAUAGCGUAAUACAAUAUAUUAUGAAUAUAUUGUAUAUAGUAUUGUAGAGUUGCGCUGGAAUACUAUCGGUAGCAAACGGGCUCCGUUGCCACCCAUUUGUUUUCGAUGAUGGAGCCUCCAAAUUGACGAUCGGCAUCGUUGAAAAUGAUCUAUACCACUUGAAGUAUCUAGAAAUCAAAUUUUAUACUUUUUCGAUAUUAUUUUCUUGUCCAUCAAGUGUGCGUAAAAAUGAAUGGCUGAAAAUGAAUAUCCUCUAAAAAGUGAUAAUAGAAAUUUUGUAAUCAUGAUCAAGAGUAUAGAUCUUGUUCUAAAUAGUUUAAAGAAUUUUCUAACCAAAAUACAAUUGAUUUGGAUAGCUUUACACCGUUAAACGAGAAAACCCCUCAUAUCAACCAUUAAAAUUACUAAUUUUGAAACUCUUUAAUCAUUAGGUAAAUGAUGUCGAAAAGAUUUGAAAUUUAAUUUCUAAAUACUUCAAGUGAUAUAGAUCAUGUUCAACAGUGCCGAUCGUCGAUUUGAAAGCUCCAUCAUCGAAAACAAAUGGGUGGCAACGGAGCCCGUUUGCUACCGAUAGCAUUCCAGCUCAACUCUAGUAUUGUAAUAUACUCUCAUAAUAUAGGUAAAAUAACAUAUAAUGUUCGGUAUAAAGAAGCAUUAGUCUAAAAUUCAUCAAUUUUCGCAAUCUUUUCUCCAAACAAAUCAACAGGUAAAGGUGACGACAAAGUUGUUUUGAGGAUGAUGAGAACAUCUGUUAACCGGUUGUUCUGGAAUUACCUACUUUGAUUGAGAUAACUUACUUUCCAAGAAAGUUAAGUUGCCGAACAAAAUAGGGAUAUUCUUGCAAUAUCCCUCAACCAAGCUGGGUGUCCAACUUUUCAUUCCAUCAUAGAUUCAUAGUGUCACAGUAAAAAUCCUGGUCUAUUUUUUUCAGCAAAUGUCAUAUUAUCGCUUCUUUCGAAAUUGAGAAGACAUUGCAGAAACCUUAUCAAAUGCCACUAAGUCGCCGAUUCUGAGAAGAUUUUAUCUUUCUAGAUUAUGCUUACUUAGGCAAACUGAGUAGAGUAUGUCUGCUUCUAGUUCUCUUUUGCUAUUCUUGUUCUAUUUUUUUUCUUUGUGCUUGCCUUAAGUGUUAAUUGUUGCAGGGAGCUGUCUUCCCUGGUGGAUUUCUCUUGGAGGAUGGAGAUGGGUGGGAUACUAAAAGAAGAGCCUUUACCUGUUUGAUCUGCAUUCGGUCGUAAUCAGUGUACGAAAUACCACUUUUUGGCGGUAAAACUAAUAAGAGAAGAGGGUUACCACUUUUUUGCGCUUAAACCAACAAGAGACGAGGGUUUACUUGAGGGAUUGAAGUUGCCAUGAACUAAAAUGGCUGGGCCUUUUUUUUUUUUUUUUUUUUUUUUUUUUUUUNUUUCUGAUUAAAAGUGUAUUGGGUUCAAAAUUUUGGAUUAACAAAUAAGAUGAUUUUAGACGAAGGACGGUGAGAACUUGUGUGUGCGUACUUUUGAGAGGUUUCCCUAUUAAUAUUAAACUAUCGAAUUAAGUAUGUGAUAAAUAGAGAGCUCAUUAAUUCGUAGCAUAUUGAUGGACUUGUUUGGUUUAGGAGUGGAAUUAAAAUGAAUAAUGGAAUAGGAAAUGAAUUGGAAUGGUAAUUGAAUUCGCUCGCCCCCUCGAGACUGUUGGUUCAUUUCUGGAUUGGAAAGUGGGUUGGAUUAUUUUCAUUCCACUGUUUGGUUUAUAUAAAUUGAAAAAUAAUAGAAUAAUAACAUAAUACUAAUUUUAUCUCAAAUAUAAUUUUAUAAACUAUUUAAAAUUUAUAAGAAAUUUAAUUAUAUUCUAAAAUUAUUAGAGCUUUGCAAAAACAAAAAAUCAAAUUUAUUUUAAAAAUUUUUAUGUAAGAAAAAAGGAAAUUAUAAAAAAGUGCAUUAAAUUUUUUUAACAAAAUUAUAAUAGGAAUAUGAUAUAUCAUUGUUAACAUAAAUAAAAUGCAUUUUGAAAUGACUGAGACCUUAAACUUUGACUAAGGCUUCGUUUGGGAUAGCGGGGGAUUGCGUUACGUGCGGUGAGAAAGUACGUUGAAAAAAAUAUCCUGUUUGUUUUCGUACGUAAUAUUGCGUUCCGCAUAUCGCGAUGAGUCGGUUACGAUAUAUUUUCUACGGUCUCACCGGAAAACGCAGAAGUAUAUCCCUAUAUGCUUUUUACUCACCUCCAUUUUUUCUAGUAGCGUUAGAUAUGUCUCAAUACCAAACUAAGCCUAAGAAAUCUAAUAAAACUAGUAAAGAUACCUGCGUUGCAGUUGGUCAAUUCUAUAGUAACAAAUGAUUAAAAAAAGCUAAGAGAGGUAGUAAAAGCUUAAGAAGAAUUUUAAAAAAAAUUGAAUGACAGACAAAUGAAGGCAGAAAUAGCUGAAGCAACAACAACAGGGAUAGGCAUAAGUAGAACGAGAUUUAGAGUUGUAACAGUUGAAAAAAACCCACAAGAGUUGGUGCUAAGAAAAAACAAUAGUCAGCAGCUGUAACAGGAUUGUGCAUGUAUUACAGUGAUAAAAAACAGUCUUUUGUACUAAAUCAAUUAUUUCUGUGUUCUAAACAAAUGAAACGCAAAUUGAGCUAUUAGUAAUUAAUAUCAAAGAUACUUAAUAAUUAUAAAAUAGGGAAAACUUUAAAAAAAACCUGUGAUUUCGUACUUUCUCACUUUAGUACCCUGUGGUUUAAAGUGUAUUAAUUUGGUGCCCUUUGGUUUCAUUUUUAUCUUUUCGCCAGCUUUUUCGUUAAUAUUUCGUUAAAUUAUGUACAAAAAACUUCAGAUAUCUACCUAGGUUUAUUGAAUAUUCACUUUAGCAUCCUUUAAUUUUAAUUUUUUCACUGAUUUUAGAAAAAAAGACAAUGAAAUUGAUAAUAAAAAGAGAAAAAUGAAACCACAAGGCACUAAAUUGAUACACUUUAAACCAUAGGGCACUAAAGUGAAAACGUGCGAAACCACAGGGGAGGUUUUUGAAAUACUCCCUAUAAAAUAUAUAAGAUAUUGGAGCUAAAGUAUAAAAAAUAUAUAACUCUCAGAUCUACCCAUCAAUCAAACAUGAAGAUUCAAUCUCAAUGCCCGUAAUUUGGAAUAGUUGAAGUGCUACUAAAGGGCCGUUUGGUUAGAUAUAAUUAUAAAUGCAGUGUAGUUAGACAUGCAGUUGGAAAUACAGCAGUUAUAACUAUAUGAAUCUUGUUUGGUUGGAUGUAGUAGAAAGCGCUACAAGUAUAAAUAAAUUGUUUGGUUGCAUACAGUUGAGAAAUAAUUUUUUAAAUUUUAUUAUUUUAUAUAUAUGAUGGUGAUAUUACCUCCAAUGUAAAAAAAAAAAAAAAAAAAGUUUAAAAAAUAUUGAGGAGGUAAGCAUACCUUUUAUUUAAAAUUACUCUCUCCAACUGCUGUAGUUGGAACUGCGGCCAAUUUGGGUGUAGUUCGAACUGCUGCAGUUGGCCUUCUCCUGCAGUUCCUACUGCAGCAGUUGGAGUUAAAUACAUCAAACCAAACACGAAAUUUGUAUUUACAUACAGUUACAACUGCAAUGCAGUUGCAACUAUAUGCAACCAAACGGCCCCUAAAUAAAGUAGUAGAAACUCGGAGAGACAGAAAGAGGGCUGUCUAUUACUUGCUAAUUCCAAGGAUGAUCAUCCUUGGAAUUGGCAGGAACCAGCCUGCCUUUGUUGCCACUCGCUAGGGUGAGUCUACUUGUGUCGAUCGUCGAUUUGGAAGCUCUAUCAUCAAAAAUAAAUCGGUAGUAAACCGAGCAGUUUACUACCGGUAGUAGCCCAGUCAAACUCUAUAUAUAUAAAUAUAUAUAUAUAUAUAUAUAUAGAGUCCAGCGAUGGUGCUUGUAAAAGCACAAAGCACUUGGUGCUUGUAAGUUUUAUACCGUUAGAUCUACUCCUCGGAUCAUUUUCAACCAUUAGAUUAUACUAUUCAACCAACCACCCACUCAACCCUAGGGGGCCCACAUCAUCCUAACCGCAUAUCUCUUAAUCCAAUGGCUCUACAAGUACCAAUAACUCGGUACUUUUAAAAGCAUAAGAGCUCAAUUCUAUAUAUAUAUAUAUGAGCAGGGCUGCUGUACUCUUAGGAGCACGGAGGCCUCCGUGCUCCUGAGCCGUUUUCGAUGAUGGAGUUUCCAAAUCAACGAUCGGCUCCGUUAAACUUGAUCUAGCCUAUUUGAAGUUUCUAGAAAAUAAUUUUUACGAUUUUUUGAUAUCAUUUACCUAACAAUCGAAAGGAUUCAAAAUCAAUAAUUUUUAACGGCUGAAAAUAAAAAUCCUAUAAAAAGUGGUGAUAUAGCACUAAAAUUUCGAUCAAAAAUAUUGAUUUUGUUGUAGAUAGUAUAAAAAAAUUUUGUAUCAAAAUUUCAUCUGAUUUGAAUACUUCUAUACCGUUAAACUUGAAAACGGCAGAUAUCAACCAUUAAAAAUUAUGAAUUUUGAAUUCUUUCGAUCACUAGGUAAAUGAUAUCAAAAAAUCNAUGUAUGUUUAUCAAUUAUUUUCAACAAAUCAAUCAAAAAUUUAAAUAUAAAUAUCAAACAUACCUCCCAAAAGUAAUUAUUGAGUAUUUCUUGGGAUAGGGGCAAAUAUUUAUGCGCUAUGAAAAUUUCAAUAUUAUGACGAAGUCCAAAGCUAGUGGUAUGUAUCCUGAAAAAAAAGAGAAGAUAAUAUAUACAUUACAAACCGACCAAAUCAUUACACAUAAUUAUUUUCAAAUUUUAAAAUAAACUAACCUUUUGUAGAAAGAUGGUGCAUAAAGGUGGAAAAUAAGUCUGCCUCCAUCUAUCAUACAUAUGGAUGAUAACAUUAAUAAAAUAAUGGCAUGCACUUGUAAUACAUACAUAUGGAUGAUAAAAUUUGUAACGUUUUAGAUAUUAACUGUGAAAGAUGAAUAUGGUUCACAAUCAAAGAAAAAGGGGAAAAAAAUAACUGUUGUGCGGUUAAGAAAAAAAAAUAACUGUUGUGUGGUUUAGGAAAAAAAUAACUGUUGUGCGGUUAAGGAAAAAAAAUAACUGUUGUACAGUUUAGAAAAAAAAAUAACUGUCGUAUGGUUGAGGCAAAAAAAACUGCUGUGCAGUUAUUUUUUGGUACGUGUAGUUAUGCUCUCUUAUAAUUACUUAAUGAUAAUUAUAAUAUAUAAAAUAUAGGGAAAACUUCAAAAACCCCCCCUGUGGUUUCGUGCAUUCUCACUUUGCUACCCUGUGGUUUAAAACGAAUCAAUUUGCCCCCCUGUGGUUUCGUUUUUAUCUUUUUGUUAUCAAUUUUAUUAUUAUUAUUUUUUAAAAUCAGUGACAAACUUAAAAUUAAAGGAUACUAAAGUGACUAUUCGAUAAAUAUAGAUGGUUAUCUGAAGUUUUUUGUAUAUAAUUUAACGAAAUAUUAACGAAAAAGCUUCCGAAAAGAUAAAAAUGACCAUAGGGGGGUAAAUUGAUACGUUUUAAACCACAGGUAGCAAAGUGGAGAUGCACGAAACCACAGGGGGUGGUUUUUUGAAGUUUUCCCUAAAAUAUAUAUAAUGAUAAUAUAUAUAUAUAUAUUAUAUAUAUAUAAUAUUAUUAUAUAUAUAUAUAUAUAUAUAUAUAUAUUUAAUAUAUAUAUAUAUAUUAUAUUAUAUAUAUAUAUAAAUAUUUGUGAACUAAAAAAUAUAUUAUGAUAGUUAAAAAAUAUUAUUAUUGAUAAGUGCGCCACGUGCACAUUAGAACUUUUCAUGUAAAUGUGCCACGUUGGAUCUUAUGGUUCAUUGUGAUAAAAUAUAUAUAUAUAAAAUAUAUAUAUAUAUAAUGAUAUAUAUAUAUAUAUAUUAUAUAUAUAUAUAUAUAUAUAUAUAUUUGUGAACUAAAAAAAUAUAUUAUGAUAAGUUAAAAAAAUAAUAAUUAUGAUAAGUGCGCCACGUGGCACAUUAGAUUUUCAUGUAAGUGCACACGUGGCAUCUUAUGGUUCAAUUGGAACCUAUGCUUCCAAAAUUAGAUAUAUAUAUAUGAUAUAUAUUAUAUUAUUAUUAUACUAUAUAUAUAAAUAAUAUAUAAUAUAUAAUAUAUCUGUAUAAUAAACAAAUUUUGGGGAUCCAAGGAAAAGAAAUUAGAGGAGUGAGGCUACUAUGCUUCUGAAGCCGGAGCCUUCGUGCUUCAGUGUUUUUUGAUGUUGCGACUUUCAAAUUGUCGAUCGGCUCCGUUAAAAUUUGAUCUAGAGUAUUUGAAAUAUCUAGAAAAUAAAUUUUGCAAUUUUUCGAUAUCAUUUGCCUAGUGAACUAAGGGGCUCAAAAUCAACGGCUGAAAAUAAAAAUCUUACAAAACGUGAUAAUAUGACAUUAAAAUUUUAGAUCAAAGAUAUUGAUCUUGUUUUAUAUAGUAUAAAGAAUUUUCUAUCAAAAUUUCACGUGAUUUGGAUAUUUCUACACCGUUAAACUUGCAAACGGCUCACCACGGCCAUUAAAAUUAUUGAUUUUGAGUCCCUUUGAUCAUUAGGCAAAUGAUAUCGAAAAAUCAUAAAAUUUAUUUUCUAAGUACUUCAAAUACUCCAGAUCAAAUUUAACGGAGCCGAUCGACGAUUCGAAAGUCACAACAUCGAAAACGACUUGGAAGCACGGAAGACUGCGUGCUUCCAGAAGCACAGUAGCCUCACUCAUAUUAGAGGAUACAUUGAAAUAGAUAGGAAUUUAUAGAGUUUGUUUAGCACAAGAUCUCAGGAAAAAGAAAGGUAGCUUAGUACAAAUAUUAAUAGGUGUUAAUAAUGGCGGACAAGGGUAUAUCAUCAUAGCUAACUGGCACAACCGACAUCGAAUGAGAGAGCAUAUCCAAGUAUCAUCUAAGUUAUUAAUAAUCGGAGAUCUUCAACAAAUUCGUCUGCUGACAGAGAUCCUGCCAGAUCGGGCAGAGAGAGAGGGCAACUGGCCGAGCCUGCACCAUGAUAGUACAAAAAGGGGCAAAACAGGGUGGAAAAGGGCAUCAAACAAUAACUACAGUGUUGGAAGAGUCAACAACUCACCUUAAGGCAUUAAUUGCGAGAUCCUCAUUGGCCGCCGACGAAAAUCGCAUCGCGUUCACCGAUGAAGAUUGCGCCCGUAGCGUGAAACGUGGGGAGAGGGAUAUCUAGCUUACGGAGAGAGAUUGGAGAAAAAGAAUGUAGAGAAAGAGAGAGAGAGAGAGGGCAACCGAUCAUGUUAGAUCAAAGAGAGAGAUCGGAGAAAAGGAGGGCAACCGGUGAAAACGGGAAAGGUUUGAGUGAGAUCAGAGAAAGAGAGAGGAAAGAGAGAUGAGAAGGGAAGGGCAAUCGACGAAAAUGAGAAGGGGCUACCGUGUGUUAGCGAGAAUUCGACACGUCACACACAGGAGGCCUAGCAUUCAUGUAUUUAGUAGUAGAUACUGUACCAUAACAUGGAGGGAAAGAAAAAUCCAAAUCAAUUUAGAAAAAAAAAAAUCAUCCUACUGGAGGAAUAACAUGGAAGGAGAUUAAAAAUUUGGGAUCCAAGAGAGCGGCUAAAAAGAGAGAUCGAACUUUUAUGGUAUAGCUGGGGUUUCUCAAAUAGUCUUUUUAUGACAAAUUGCUCACGUCUUACUGUUGUGCCGCCGCGUCGUGCCACCCUACGGCACAGCCACAUUAUGUUUGUGGCGUCGUUAAGGUUAGGGAUAGGGUUUAUGAGGGAGUUGAGUUUUUUUAUUAUAUGAUGAGAAAGGAGAGGGUAAAGAUCUUGAAUGGAGAAAGGAUGCAUGAAAUAAAGGAGAUGGGCUUGGGUUGGGGGAGAGGUUGUGCGGGCUUGGAAUGAAAUUCCAAUUCUGACUUUGAGGCCAAAAUCACGUUGAGUGUUAUUGACCCAUUCCAAUUCCCAUUCCGAAAUUGAUUCCCGUGAACCAAAAGAAUUAGUCGGAUUUGAUUAAACCGAUCGACGAACCAAACAUGCCCUUAUAGUUUAGAUGGUUAUCUACAACAAUAAAAAUUUAAUGUGGUCAUAGUACAAAAGUUUAUAUGUUCCUCUAGAUUAGAUACAUAUUAAGGGUUAUUUUGUUCUUCAGAAAAGUGUGAAAAAAUAUCUUUCAAGUAAAGAAUUUUUUUUUCUUCACUUUUUCAUCUGUUUGGUUUUAAAAAAAUAACUUUUUUUGGGUCAAAUUCUAUAAAAAAAAACAAGUAUUUUUAUUUUUUUAAAAAAUAGUAAAAUAAAAAUACUUAUUUUUACAAAAUUUUUUAAAAACUUUCUAAAAGAACUAGAUUUUUUAGGUUCAAAACGACAAAAAAAAAAGAAAAGAAAGAAAAAACUAUUUUUCAUUUUUUUUGAAAAUAGGGCUUUUUUGCAUUUGGCCCCCUUAAAAAAAUUAUUUUAAAAAUAACCCCAACAAAUUUAUAUUUGCACUUUUGGCUAUGUCCUUGCCAUGCAGGCGCUUCAUCAGCGCCACGCGAGCUAGGCUGGGGUCAGGAUGUUAAGUUAGAAAUAUGCUAUGUUAAUAUGUCAUGAGUGUAAUACUUUUGUAUAUUUUAUUAUAUUACUUUAGAACUCUAUAUCCAACGAAUGUGUUCCUUUCUAUAUCUAGUGGGACAAAAAUUUAGUCGUGAACAAUAAUGUAUCACGAUAUAUUGGUGGCCUUAAAGAAUUGAUUGGUAUUCGGCGCGAUAUCACAUUUGGAGAAUUUGAGAUGAAAAUAUACAAUGUUACUAAUUAUGAUCGAGUGGAAGACCGUCUCCGCAUAACGGUUCGAUGUCCAAUGGGAGUCAACAAAUGAAAAUCAGUUAAUAUAUCAAGUGACAAUACACUAAGUGGCGUGAUGAGUUUUUUUUCCGUUUUAUGGAUGUAUAAAAUUAUUCGUAGAGAAACAUAUGUUGACGACAUAAGACCGUCCAAGUACCGUUAACUAUAUAGAAAUGCAUAAUAGUGAUUAUCAAAGAAAUUACGUCAAUCACGAAUGAGUUCCUAUAUCAAGGUAUAGAGUAAUGAUCUUAAUAAAUGUUUUUCAUAAUUCCUCAAUUAGUUUAGGUGCGCAAAAUUAAUAACUUUGUCUUGUAAGUGUUACAGAGAAUCUGGAGUCCCAUGUGUGCCAGUUAGUGCAUCAUUAUCAUCUACUAUAUGGAUCCGUCUUCAUUUGUUGGUCAAAAUGAGCGGUAGGUGAUUGUAUGAUUUAGUUACAUGAAAAUUCGACCAAUGCGAAUAGUUAAUCUUAAACAUCUUUGCAGGUUGACUAUCCCUCAUAAUUAAAGUAAAGGUCUAUCAUCUAGUGUUCGUGAAUAGACCGAUUGGGAAGUGAGAACUAUAAUUGAUAAUGAGGACAUAAUUGGAAGUGAUGAGGAGUAUAUUAUUGAAAGUGAUGAAGAGGAUCAAAGGCAAAUUGAUGCUGAUUCUAGUGAUGAUAAGGAUUCUUUGUUCCGCAUUCUUUGGAUCCUGAUUAUGAUAGUCGUUUGAAUACACUCGCAUGCGCCAUUCGAGAUGAAGGUGUUGAAUGGAUUGAAAAUUCAAAUGUCAAUAACGAUGAUGUACCGAACCCGGUGGAAUUUGAGGAAUUUGAAGAUCAACGACAAUGGUUUCUCUUCGGUAAUAAAUUAAUUCAUCAAACUAUUGUUGAUGCAUAUACUGAACUAAAUAUUGAUCAGGGUCCUCCAAGUGAUGAGGGAUGGGCUAAUCGGAUAUUUUCUGAUAAAUCAUCCUUGGUAAAUGCUUUGGAAGUUUGGCACAUUGCACAUAAUGUGCAGCUUAAAGUUGUUAAGUCAAAUACAACUAGAUACACUGUGAGAUGUGUGGUCAAUUCUUGCCCAUGGAGAUUACACCGAAAGGUAGUUCAUUUUUUAAAGUAAGACUUAUAGAGGUCCGCACACAUGUAUAGUACAAAUUUUGAAUACAACACAUCGGAACUGUACAUCUUCUUUCAUAUGUCAAUUUAUACUAUCUACACUACAGGCAAGGCUUACUAUGAGUUCUAUGGAAAUUCAAUCUCGAGUUUAGAGUGAGAUACAUGUUAGCAUAUCAUAUAGUAAGGCUUGGCGGGCACAGAAUAAAGCACUACGUAUUAUAUAUGAUAGUUGGGAGCAAUCAUAUUGCGAUCUUCCUCGAUACUUCUCCAUGUUGGAAGCAACAAACCCUGGAACUAUUACAAAGAUUGAUUUCAUCAAGGUGACGAGCACUAUAAGAAUGUUUUCAUGACCUUUUUGGGCUUUUGGACCGUCAAUUCAUAGUUGGGAGUAUUGCCGUCCAUUACUUAGUAUCGAUGCUAUCCAUUUGUAUGGAAAAUAUAGAAGCCACGCAUUAAUUGCCACAGGUAUCGAUGCCCAUGGUGAUUUAUUUUCGCUAGCGUUCGCAAUUUGUGAGGGGGAGAAUGGCUCGAGUUGGGAGUGAUUUCUAAAUUGCCUACGAAGGUACAUAACACGAUCUCAAGUUAUUCAAUUUAUUUCAGAUCGUUUUAAAGGGCUAGCAAACCUCGUUGCACUUGUAUUCCCACCAUCAGAAGGUCAUGCUCAUCGAUGGUGUUUGCGAUAUAUGAAGGCCAAAAUGAAUAUUCAUUUCAAGGCAAAACACUUACUUAAGAUAUUUUGGAGAAUCUGUGAUGGCAACAUUUCAUCAAAUGGUAGAAUUUUUCUUAAAACAUCGUGCAAAGGGCAUCACAAUGUCUACACAGUUUGUAUCAACUGUUGAUAACAUCAUCAAUAGUCGGAUGACAUAUGCUAGAGCAUAUACAGUUCGAUGAUUUGGAGCUCACGAGUUCGACGUACUUACUAGAAGGGAUUUGCAAUACCAAGUGAUUAUCAAUGGAAGAGCUUCUACUUGUUCAUGUUUGUGUUUGCAACUCACAGAAAUUCCUUGUUCGCAUAUUUUGUCAUGUUGUAGUUCCUUACACAUGAAUAUAGAUUACUAUGGCUUAUGUUCUCCUUGGUAUACUAUCGCAUCAUAUCGUAAGGCUUAUGAAUCGCAGUUCCAUCUUGUUCCCGAUCGUCGUUAUUAGGUUGAGUCAUAUGAUUCACCUAUACUUCCACCAUGCUAGAGAAGGAAAAAAGGACGACUCAAAUCUACGCGCAUCUAUAAUGUUAUGGAUGAAGGCGCUGGGAAUAGGAGGGGCAAGUGUAGUAUGUGUAAACAGUAUGGCCAUUAUAAAAGCACAUGUCCUGAAAAUCAGCAAAGAAGAACUGACAGAUGUCGUUGCUAGGUUUUCUUAUUCGAAAAUUGUACUUGACUUGUUUUUCUUAUUUUAUGAUUAUGCACUCAUGUUACACCCUUUUGUUUCUCACUGAUUUUACUUGACUAUUUCAGAUAGACGAACAUGAGGAGCCGAACCGAUUGAUACAUCAGUGUUGAUUGAGCAGCCACACUAUAGAUCCACUUUGAUUCUAGAGGAGGUGAUUUUUUUUAAAAUAUUUUAAAUUUACUAGUAAACUAUGUACUAAUAUUAAAUUGAAAUUCAUAAUCAUGCAGGGUUAUUCUUCUGUUCAAUUUACAGAGCAUGGCUGUAAAUUGAACCGAUGGCAAAUUGAGCAUCCUGUAGUUUUGGACUUAUUGUGACGAGCAGGAUUUUAUUAUAUAUCACGAUUGCGACGCUUACAGCUAGAUCAGUCCUUAUUGGGAUCAUUAGUCGAGAGGUGGCGGAGGGAGACGCAGACUUUCCAUAUGCAACAACGGGAGAUGACUAUUACUUUGAUAGACGUCUCUGUUAUUACCGGACUCUGCGUCCAUGGUGAGGCUGUGACUAGAUGGGCAUCAUAUCAGUGGUCACAGCUCUGCAAGCUACUUCUCGGAGUGGUUCCUGAAAAUAUUAGGGGCGGUGAGAUAAAGAUAGACUAGUUGUACCAUAAUUUUCAUGAUAUUGCUCUAGAUGCAACUCCUACAAUUGUACGAGCUACCGCUAGAGCAUAUAUACUGUUUGAAAUAGGAUGUAAUUUGUUGCCAAAUCCAAGCGGAAAUAAAGUGCAUUUGAAGUGGUUGCCACUGUUAGAAGAUUUUGACGUCUGCGGUGAGUUAGUAUGGGGUGCAGCUGCUCUAGCUCAUCUCUAUCGGACAUUAGGAAAUGCUUGCAUGAGAGGAAGGUGGAGUGCUGUUGUUUUGGGACAUUACUUCAGGUACAUUGCCUUUCUAGAUUUUUAUAAGUCAUGGCUUUUGCUGUAAUUUUCAACUAUCUUUUUGUAUAGAUAUGGGUAUGGGACCACCUGCACUUUGGCCGCCCUGAGACAGUUUGACCGCAACCUGAGCUUGUCGACAUGCCACUAGGGUGUAGGUAAGUGUUUUUUUCAUUUUAAGUUUUCUAUAUACUAUUUAAUCAUGCCUAAUAUAAUAUAAAUGAAUCGGGUGGAAUGCUAGACUGGCUUUUUCGGGACAAUGUCAGGACUAUUAACAUUGAGCUUUGUCGUGAUUAGCUUGAUCAGCAGCUAGAGUCUCAGGUAAAUGAAAGUAACUCAAUCUCAUUAUAACUGCAAAUUAUAUUUUAAAACGAGGGGGUAAGUAACCAUAUGCAUUUUUCACAAUAGAUUACAUGGGGGUCUCAUAUAGAUACAAUUAAAGGUGUCUGUGGACCGGGUCGGGUCUGGGUAGUUGAUAUACUGUACCCAUACCCUAAAAAAAAUGGUUAGAAAAAAAAUAUAUACCCUACCCAUUUAACUUCGGGUCGGGUCCGAAUCUAGAUACUUAAGUUACUAAUAUACCCAUCGGGUCUAUUUUAGCGGGUCUGGGUAGUGACUAUCCGUAUACUACCCGUUCAAAACCGGAUACGGGUCAGGUACGGGUACCUGUAUAUAUAUAUAUUUAUAGACUUUAUUAAAUUGUUUGGGCAAAAUUUGUUUCGGCCAUUAUAUUUACUGAUUAAAAGUCUAAAAUUCAAAAUAAUUUUAUAUGUAAACAUACAAAAAUUAAAAAAUUAUGAUACCAUAUUACAGAUAAAGAGAAUAUAAGUUGUAGUAAUUACUAAUAUUAUAUACUAACAUUCAAAAACAAAGAGGGAAAAAAUAAAGAUGAAUCAGAAAAUUUACUAAAUAGAAUAUUCAUUAAAAAAAACUAGAUUGUCGACUAUGAUUGGAGAAGGGAUUUGAAAAAAAAAACUCACUUGUACCACACCUGUAAAGGNUCACCACUUCGUUCGAGAGAUUACCACCUAAAUUCGAACCACUCGUACCACCGGAUUCCAUUCUAAAGUACUAAACUCAAUCUUCAACCUAACUUAGGAAAUGUUAAUCAUAUAAACUCCAAGGAUCUACUAAGAUUUGAUCUAACCAAUUCUAAAUUAGUACUUUAAUCUCAUAAGAACAUCUUGAACUUUGGAUCCCAAUCUUUAACCCCGAAAACAGGAGUACUCUAAACAUUGAUUUAACUGGAACACUUUGGAAUUAACUUCCUAUUAAGCUAUACCUCCUGUUGAAGUAAAACCUAAUGCUGCUCCAAUGCCACAGGCUAACUCUCUAAAUGCCUUAAACCAAGCAAUCCGAACCCAGCUCAAUUUUGCCGUUGGCAUUUAACGCUCUGAACUAAAGAGCGAAGAACUACAGCUAUACUCCACCCACCACGAUAGGCCUUACCAACCUAAAGAGGGAUACAGAUUAAGGGAAACAACUCGUCUAUACAUAUAUAUAGAUAACUAACACAUACUAUCCCAAGUUCAUAACAGUGCGGGGCCCUGGCCGCCUCCGGGAGGGCCAUCGCACGGGUCUGGGCGGUAUACAGAUGUGUAUAUUCCGCAGAUGUUCUUCGCCUUCAUUUUCGUUCUUUAUCUUGUUUAUUUUCUUCACUUUAGUGUUCGUUGAUUACUAUAGUCUCACUCAUUUCAAGAUUGUAGAUGUGGUUCCAUUCCUUCAUUUCGAUCUGUUAUUUUUCUCAGUAUUCUUCAUGUUACUGUCAGAGAUCAUGUUUUUACCACCAGAGAUCAUGUGACCAUUUUGUGAGUUGGAGAGCAUUUUAUCUUGUAUUUAGCUCUCCACCUGGUGGAUCGUUGAGCAGGAGCUUCCUUCGAUCGAGCUUCGUUGAGGGAAGGGCGCUAGGGACCGGAGUGGGACUCACCUUCCGAGACAUUUUGUAGCUCUUUUUCUCCCGCACUCUUGAUAUUAAAUAUCAAGGGUCACCCGCUAAUGACUGGAGUCGAGAUUCGUGGUGAUCCGGGGUUUUCCUUUCCCAUUCAUGAUAUCGUUAUUAUUCUCAUUAUCGUUGUUGUUAUGCUUUCGUAUUUACUUCACGAUUUGGCGAUAUAGAGUUCAUUUGUACUACAGUACCACUACAUGUAGAUGCGCCAGUAUUCUAUUAUACAGGUUACGUAUUUCUCAUUCGAGAUUGGUUCGUUGGCUCAUAGGAUGCUACGUUAUUACUUUGGCCAUUCAUGCGAUAUACGUGGUCACGAUAUAGUACUCGUACAGUUCCAUUAGGUUGAUGAUUUGGAUAGAUCAUCACUAAUAAGUAUAAGUUGUGGCACAGCUAAAGGUAAAAGUUAACCCCUGGAUGGUUUCCAUCAGGUCGAACACGGCGGAUUCACGGACACCAUCGGGCUGUAAGGAUGAGAACCUUACACAGACAGGGUGAGCCGGGGCAUCCGAAGAGUUAUGGCGUGCUUGCUUGUAUCAGCGCAUCCGAUUGAGGCCUCACGGCCGAACAUUCCUCGCUGGGAGUGUUCGUACACGCUUACUCGUGUUUACCGUUCGUUCAUACCAGGUUCAGAGUUUAUAGGUUAGGAGUACAGGGAUUGUACCAUAGUAUUGAUCGUAGGGCUUCUAGAUCAGAUUCAGUGUUAUACUUCAAAGUUGUAAACGAUGUGGAUCACGGGGAACUACUGUGAAUCCGUUAAACUACAAGCUGUACAAAAGGUUUAGGGAGUUACCGGGAUACGUGAUUUAAAGUGUGUUCAGGGCUCGAGUUACGGCGAACUACUGUAAUCGAGAGGUUAAGCGUACUAUAGUUCAAGCUACGGAUGUAUACUUCGUUAACAGUAGAAAGUACAGAGUUAAUUUGAAUACAAAUUUGCGUACUUAGUAUCGAGUAAAUGAGAGACCUUGGUACUUUAGUUUGGGGUAUAUCUUACGAUUUACGUUGGGUUCUAGAGGGUUUGUUGAGAGAUGAUGUAUCUCCAGGUUUCUAUGUGGUAUAUAUUGUAUACGUAAAAUUCGUAAGAUUUUUAGUAUUAUUUAUGUAAAUUAUACUUUUACGUACUUAAUUAAUCAUUGUUUCGUGAAUAGUGGUUUAUACUCUUAAAGAGUAUAGUUUCCGAUCCAGUUUGGGUGGCUGCUGUUGCUUCGAAAAGCAAACGAGAUUGCCUCCAAAGGUGUUCGAAAGUUCGUGGGAUCCUUGUAGUUUUUCCCACAGUUGGUUAGCUAUGCUUCUCGUUAUUCGAGUUAGAAAUUGGAUCCUCGUUUUUCCCCAGUUUGAGUGGAGUUCUCAUCUUUAGAAGAGAAUUCGAGGUUUUCUCUCGAUCCCAAGUUGGUUAGGUUCGGGUUCCUUCCAAGAUUUGGGUGGUUAGAUCAGAGAUUUCGGGAUCUUAGUUUUAGGGAUUUUAUUUGGGAUUCAUAGUUUAGAUUCCAAGGUUGAGUUUUAAAUCGUUUUUGUACCUAGUUUCCGAGUUUAGUACAACGAUUGGAGAGAUCUUCGAAGUUUAGUUCGAGGUUUACGAGAUCCAAGGUUCUAGAGAGGAGGUGAAUCGAGGUUUAGGUUCGAGAACCGAAGUUGGUACCACCUUAUCGUGGUUUUCCUUUUUCCUCUUCUUCUUAGGUAGUUUUUGGUACGUUUUUCCCCUAGUUUAGGUUCACCUUCCCACCUCUCCCAAGGGAAUGGAACAGAGGACGACAAAGUUCGAGUUUCUUUGUCGAUUCCCCGCACCCCCUUAUUUAUCUUCUCUAUGUUUGCGUUUUUGUGGGGACGUCAGGUAAGCUUCUUCUCCAACUUCAUCUCCUCCAACUAAUUCUCUUUGGUGGAGAGAUCACAAGAGAGGGAGAGAGUGGUGAGAGCUAGAGAGAAAGAGAGAAGACUUGCUUCCUCUCUCUCUCUCGGGUUAGAGUGCACGAAUGAGGGAAAUGGUAAAGGGUUUACAUAUUACCCCCCCAACACACACUACAAUUUUCAGCCGAUACUUUUCGCCGAAGCCCUUCUGAAUGUCCGUUUGCGCUCAAAUUUGACAGUCAGGCUCGGUUAAAAUUAAUAAGAAGAACGAAAUCUUAACUUUUCAGUUUGGACCAUUUUUGGUCACCAAAAGCUCUACCGACUAAAAUCUUUAGUAGAUAGCAGUCAGAUUUUGUUUUCCACUUUUCGGGUGUCAGAAUGACAUGAAACUUUAAAUCUAGCCUCAUAAAAAUAAUUACGACAUAUUCUCAAAUUUUCAUAAUUUUUUGACACUGUGAAUUUUUUGCUAAAAGAUCAGCUUCGUUCCUUACAGAAAAUUCUAAAUUUUUUGUUUCCAUUUCAAUUUCAGCACAAGUCAUUUCCGACUUAUAUUUUACUUCUUUAAGUCUAAUAAAAAUAGUAUUUCACACUAUUUUUAUUUACAUUUACUUUUAUAUUAAAAUCUGGUACAUUACAAUACCUCGCAUCACUUCACGAGGUAGAGCAGAUGAGAAUUGGGUGGCGUAUCAUACUUCAUAUAUUCAGCGUUAGGAUGGUAGAUUGAUGGAUAUAGUAGAGGUGGACCCUGAGAUAAAUCCAGAUCCUAUAUGAGUUACUAUUGUUUACAUGCAGUGGUAUUAGAGAAUUACCAGGAGGUGCGCCCACCCCUCGCAUAUCAGCCACGUGGACAAGUCGAGAGAGUGUUGGUAUGAUUUUAAUAUAUAAUAUCUCUUUAUAUUUAUUUUUAUAUAUAAAGAAAGUUUAGUGUAAUUUUUAUGAUGGUGCUUUUAUUUCAGAUUGAUGUCGUGCGGAGAUCAUAUUAUACGAUUAGAGGUGUCUUGCCAAAUAUUCCAUAUGGCGGAGUGUUAGAAGCCCUAUCACAAAUUGCCGAUCAAAUGGAAGCAGUUUUGGAGACUUUACCUACGUUUUCACACACUGUACCUCCACGGCCAGCAGAACAUAAUGGACCAUUGACGUCGGGUAAUAAACCACUGUAUAGUCCACCAAGGCUAUCUUCACUGAUAAAGGAGCCAUCUUAUCAUUCAGACAUAGUACCAGUACUAGUACUAGAGGACCCACCUCGACCAGUCGAUAUUGUUUAUUGUAGGCGCCGACGGCAGUUGCAGUCUCUCUACACAUAUCAGCUUUCAUCUUCAGUUCCUCCAGGGCCAGACAUACUAUCGACACCUGCUAUGGUUGAGCAUGAGAUUAGAGACGGGUGAUCGAGAUGCGGGACACUCAACCAGUUGUUUAGGGUGCUGCUAUCAAACAUUUAGACCACUUGAAAAUCAUAGAGCCCUUUGAUGAGUAUGGUGUUGAUCGUGAUUGCGGUCGUGAUAGGAGAUGUGUAGGUAGACAUGUCAAGGGAUUAGGAGGAGAAUAUGACAUUAUAUUUUUAUAAAUUUUAAAUUGCACAGAACCUUCUAUAUUAUUGAAAAAUUUACUCUAAUUUUUUAUAUUUUGUUAUGAUGAUAUGGUAUCGAUACUCUAUUGAUAUUUUGUUAGAUUUAUUGUUGUGUUGUUGGAUUUGUUGUUGUGUUGUUGAUGUUGAAUUUCUUGUAUUGCUGUGUUGAAUUUAUUGUUGUGUUGUUGAUAUUGAAUAUUUUGUGUUAUUGUGCUGAAAUUACAAGUGUGCUGAAAUCUACACCGUGUCUAGACACGGUGAACGGUUUCCUGUGUUUAAUGUAUUAUCCACUUUAGCGGAUUAUCUGCUAAUACCAGCGGUGAACUAAAGGAACACGGUGAACCAUUUAUCGUGUCUAGACACGGUGAAUGGUUUACCUUAUUCAACUUAACACUUUGGCUCAGCCCCAUUUGCGUGGCGUUGAUAUGGCAUCUAUGUGGCCGGGACAUGACAAAAGAUAUAAAUAUAAAUUUGCUGAGGCUAUUUUUAAAAUAAAUUUUUUUAAGGAGGCUAAAUGCAAAAAAGCAUUGAAAAUAUUUUUUGUUCCGAGGAACCGAGCCGGUCGGUCACCAUCAAAUGUGGGACCGUCGCGUGCACCGGGUGCAGGCGAUAUUUAUUAAUUUAUCGUGUCUCGGUCCUCAAAUGUGGGUGUGGGACCGUCGCGUCGACGUCGCCUGUCUCUCUCUCUCUCUCUCUCUCUCUCUCUCUCUCUCUCUGUCCCCUGGCUCUGCGGUUCCCCUCUUCGUCUGCUUCGCCCUCGUCUCCUUCGUCGAGCCCCUCCCAUGGCGAUCGGUUUCCGCCCCACUUCGAACCCCCUCGGAUCUCCUUAAACCGAUCGAUCGUAUCGCCUCUAGCUCGGAUCGGCGCGACCGCGGAGGCGAAGCUUCGAGCCGGAUUCAGAUCGUUUUCCAUUCGGCGGCGCGAUGUUCGAGGCUCAUGUACGAUUCGUCUCCCUUGUUCUUAUGUUUAUAGAUGAAGGGAUAAGAUGUAGGAUGGUUUUCGCUUCUUUGAUCAGCGCUUUUUCUGCUUAUUUUUGUGCCUUUUCAUGCUAUAUGAGCUGCAUCGAAGUAGGGUUUAACGCUAAUAGUUGUUGGAUUGAGCUGCGUAAUAUCUGGUGGGUGAUGAAAUGUAUUUGUUGUCCUUGUCAGGAGAUGUAGGAAGGUUUUUGCUUCUUGAUUAGCAAUUUUUUUCUCCUCCUUUUUUGCUUAUCGGAAUGGUUCGUAUGAGCUUAUAUAGGAGUAGGGUUUGAGGGCCAAUCUUUGUUGGAUUGCGCUACCUAAUUUUUGCUUAGCGAUCAGGUGUAAAUAGAUGUUUCAAUUGAAUAUUGGGAGUGUCGAGGAUCGUAUUAGUUGUUACAGAGUGGUUUAGUGAUGCUCUAAUACAUAAUUGCCGUCGUAAACAGUGGUCGUUGGAUACUGUAACUGGUGCUUUGCGAGUAGACUACUGAUUCUAUCAUUCUAAUAGUAUCAUGUCAUACAGGUAUUUCAUGUUAGGAUCAACAAAUUUCCAUGCUUGUUAGUUGUGAGUUGCUCUUCUAUGUGUAUUAUGCUAUGAUGCAUGGGCACUUCAUUUCACUUGUUGUGUCUGUGUUGACUGCAUUAGAUAAUGUUACUCACUCAAAUGCAUGCCCGAUAUGUUUCAGGUACUUUGUAUGGGCAUCUGGAAUUUAAAUAUUUGAAAAACUAUUCUGAUACUUGCUCGAUACACUGCCGAUACUUCACACGAACAUCGUAUCUUUUAAAUUCUUGGAAAAUGUCUCAAUAUGAAUAAAGUCAAAUGUGUUCGAUUAUAAAUUGUACAACUUUUGAGGAAUAACUAAAAUACAUUUUUCGAGGAAUAACUAAAUAAGUGCUUGGUUGGUUUGCUGAAAUAGUGCAAAUAAUAGUCAAGUUUUCUACUGAAAUACCAUAGCUUCCUUCUUAUACAGCCCAUACACAAUAUGCAUAUAUGAGGAUUAAGGCUAGGUUACCAUUGAUAGUAUUUUAAUGCUAUUGUUAUUGAGCCAAAAUCAAUGUCAAAGCAUUUUUAUUAGAAAUCUGUUUCACUAGAUGUGAUCUAGAACAUUUGAAAUGUCUAUAUAAAUAGAAGUUCACAAUUCUUGGAGUUACUUUACUUAUGAAUCAAGUGCGGGUAAGAGUAAAUAUUGUAAAUUGAAUAAGGUUCUGAUUAGUAGUAUAGGAUUCCUUGGAUGAGAAUUGGAGACAUUCGUCAAAUCCGUCUAACAAAGGUAUCAACUAAUUUGUGUUGGUCUAAACCGUUAACUUUACAAGUUCUUUGUAUCUAAUUAUUUUGGGACUGCUUGAUCUUGAGGUAAGAGUGCUCCAAAAGUCAUGUAUUUUAGUUUCUAGCUAUUUCAAGUAGUCUAAAUCAUGUAUCACCAUAUAUAUAUAUAUAUAUAUUUAUUUAUUUAUUUAUAUUUCAUGGGUGCAAGUUUAGAACCGCUAUCUAGUGAUAAACUGCACAUUAUUUCCACGUUUAUGCUCUUCUUAAGUCAAUAGGACAAACUGAAUGAGAGAGUAGAUCAGUACCAUAUGUGAUUCGUGGAAUAAAUUUGUAAGUAUCUUAGGUACCGUUUGGUUCGGGGAUAACGAAUUUGGGGAUAAAUCUUUUUAUCCUUGGGAUAGCCUGCUAUUCUGGGGUAGUUAGGGAUAAAAGUAAAAUACUGUUUGGUUUGUAAGACAAUUAUUCCUAGGAAUAACUGAAAUUGUGUUUAGUAAGUUUAUUGGAAUAUAUGAGAAUAGUGAAAAAGAUGAUAGAUUAAUUUUGCAAAUGCCAAUUUUGCCCUUAGUUUUCAUCCACAAAUAUUUUGUAAGUUACACAACCAAGUAGAUGUAACAUUUACCUAAACAAGAGAACAUCUUAUACACAUGAUUGUUGGAUUAAAUUUUUUGUUAAUUUUAUUUCAGCAUAUUAGAAAAUAUGGUAGUAACGAUCCUGAAGUGAAAUAAUUAAAUUUAAGAACUUCAAUUCACUGUUAAAUAGAACUAAUGUUGUCAAAUCAUACAAGAAGGUUGUUAAUUACAUCUAAUCCAACAUUAUAACAAAGUACGAUGCUACUUAAUUACAUCUAUACAGAACCAAACAAAAUGAAGGUAUACAAGAAGGAUAUUAAUUAAAAAAUCCCAAAGGCAAGAGAAGAUGAAGAAGAGACAUUAUAUUGAAAAAUAUCAACUAUCCAACUCAUACAAUUACCUGAAACUAUUUUUUCAAAUUAAAAUGACUUUGAGCAAUUUAGGAGUGCAAGUAACAAUGCAACUAGUUAAAAACCACCAAUUAUCGGGAAUUUAACAAUAGAACAAAGUAGGUUCAAGGUGAAGACAAGAUAAAUAACUAGAUAAAGCAAAUUACAAAGCAUGUUCACACAAAUUUUUAAAAAUUACAUCAUUUUCAAUAUAGCCUCCUAUCUAUUAUUCCACAAUUGGUCUAUGAUCAUAGUGUGAAGGGCGUCGCCUCGCCGAGACUCAUCUGGGCCAACAGGAGGUGUUGAGUCAUCAUUUUGGUCGUCUGUGGGGAAUUGGUCCAUUUGCAUGUUGAAGUAUCUAUUGGUCCUUUGGUGCCUCUUGAUGAAAUUGUGUAUCACACAGCAGGCGAGGGCAAUGCGACACUAUACUUUGUAAGGAAAGGGUGUUGCUUGUCGCAGCAUCUUGAACCGUCUCUUCAGGAUCCCAAAUGCUUUCUCAACUACAUUUCUCAAUUGAGCGUGACGAUGAUUAUAUAAAUCUCGAGGUCCUCGAUGCCUUCGUGCCAAGGUUUUAAGUGCCCGUCGGUAUGGGCAGUAUCCACCGUACCGUACCGUGCCAAGCCAACAAGAUACCGGCACGAUACAGACCCCGUGCCGAUGGCACAGCUCAAAACUCUCUAUUCUUUAAAUUAGUAAGUAAUAUCCUCAAUAAAGUUCAAAAGAUGUGAUAAAAAGACAUAAUAAAUAGUUAGAAGAAUUUGUUGCUAAAGAAAAUAAAUAUUUCAUGCUAUUAUGUGUCGGCACACGAGAAUUUUUGACCGACACGUAUCGGCAUGGCUCGGCACGCACCGUGCCGUACCGUGCUGGCAAGUUUCCGGCACGAUCCCGUGCCACGGCACUUAAAUCCUUGCUUUGUGCUUGUGCGUUUACAUCGAAUUGGCUCAAGUGGUAUCGCUCCCCUUGAUAGGGAGCGAGGAAGCGGUCAGUGUUCGCAUAACCUGAAUCGAUUAAAUAAAAUUUUCCUAAACAAAUAUAAAGCUUUAUUAGAAUUACAACAAUGAAACUUGUAUCACACAUUAAAAAGCAAAACUUUAGUUACCUUUCGGUACCAUGAAAUCUACUCUCUUGCGACACCAUCGCAGCACCUUCAUAUCACCUGCAAAACCCUCCUACCCGGUGCAUAUAAAUAAAAAUUGAUGGUUGAAAGAACAUGCUGCCAUCAUGUUCUGAGAUUGUAAAACUUUCUCGACAACAAUAUCUUGCUUGCUUAGUUUUUCAUACAACCAUCGGAAUGUGUGUUCCAUCUACCGCACCAACUGCAUUCUGAAAUAAAUAUUUACAUAAAUACAAUAGUUAGCAUCAAAUAUCUCAUAACCAAAAACACAAAUUUAUUCUUUUAAUUAAAGUACUCAAAUUACGAAUAUAGUUGCCUUGAAUAGAUGAAAAAUCGGAUUAUCUUUUAUUCUUGGGUGUACGCUCACAUUAGAUGGUGAUUGUUGGAUGUAUUCAUGUCUAAGUUCCACCACACCUCGCAGUACAUUAUUAAAAUGCCUACUAAUCGUUUCUCCUGAAUGUUGAAAAGUUUCAGCUAAAACUCUGUUGGCUACGCCAUGACCUAUACCAAAUAAAAAUAUACCAAGCUGCUCAUCAGCAGUUAAAUGCUUAGUGCUUUGUAUACAACCCCUCUCAACUAAUUCAUUUCGAAGCCUUAUAAAUAUAGUGGUAGUCAUCUUGAAAUGUUGUAUCCUCUAUCAAGAUGUCCACUCAAUAUGUCAUGAAUUAAUUGAUGGCCAGUGAACGGCCGUGUUCGACAAGGCCGCUUAUAAAUUGUGCUACGGAAUAAUAAGUCCCCUUCUUCGAUAAGUAAUGCAUGGACUUCUUCCCAAUAGUUUUCUUCCUCGUCGAAGAAUGUCAUGAGAUCAGCAACGAGUGGCGAAGCAAAAGCUUGACGAAUGAUUGCUUUAGCCAUGACUGCAGAUGAGCAAAACAAAACUUUCAUAACACAAUUAUAGCCAUGGAGUUAUCUAUAUUGGCUCAGUUAGUAAGGUACAAAAAUAUGCAAGGUGGCUGCAGUGGUCUUUAGCCAUGCCCUCCUAUCCUGCACACCUAUAGUGCUACGUAUCAUUAUCUCUGAAAGGAGGAAGCAUAGCAAUCUAAUGCAAGACAUAUUUACUCAAGUAUUUGAGGUAACGAUCUUCAAGUAUGGCAAAAAUUAUAUCAAGCUGUAGGUACAAUAAAAUCUUGAAAUAAGAUAAAUAAAACUUCAAGUAGCAUUAAGUUAACCUCGUGAUUGUAAGUUGGAAGAAAAGAAAAAGGGCAAAGAAGUUGUGAAGCUGAGGUAAGAAUCAGGUGCACAAGUUUAUAAGCGACAAUAUUGCAAGCAUUCAAGUAAGCAAGUUACCACAUUGUAGCUGAAAUUCUGUAUCUAAAUCAAAGCUGAAUUAAAGUAUAAAUGGUGAUACUUUGUGUUGGCUCAGGUAUUAAUGCCCGCAAGCAUGAAUGGUGGAUGCAAUACGUUGCAUAUCACCCCCCAAACCAUGCACACCUGCUAGUCUAUUGCUCAUCAUUGCCGAAUAGAUUGCCGAAUAGACCCAUAUGUAGAUUUAGAUCUGGGAAGAAGAAAGAACUCAACUUGAGUAGCAUUCAAGUAACCACAUUGUUGCUGGUGCCUGGUUGGAAGAAGAGAUGCAUCAAAGAUAAGCUGGAGAGGUGAAAUAUCAUCCAGUCGAUCAUGAGUAAUAGCAACAAUGUUGCAAUUACAAGUAUAAAUGGUGAUAUAUUGUGUUAGCUCAGGUAUUAAGGCCCACAAGCAUGAAUGGUGGAUGCAAUACCUUACGGAUUGCCCCCCAAACCAUUCAAGCCUGCUAGUCUAUUAUCAUCAUUGCUGAAUUCAUUGCCGAAUAGGCCCACAUAUAGAUUUAGAUCUGGGAAGAAGAAAGAACUCACCUCGGGUAGCAUUCAAGCAACCGCAUUACUGCUGCUUGGGGGAAAAGAUCGAGAGGAGAUAAGUUGCGGGGGUGAAAUAACAUCUAGCCGCACAUGAACUAAAGCGACAAGGUUGCGUUUACAAGUUUGAAUGAUGAUAUAUUGUGUUGGCUCAGGUAUUAAGGCCUGCAAGCAUCAAUGGUGGCUGCAAUACCUUAGUACUGCCCCCCAAACCAUUCACACCUGCUACUCUAUUACACAUCAUUGCCGAACGGACCAACAUGUAAAUUGAAAGUUGAGAAGGGAGAAGAAGAAAAGUUAUACAUUGAAGUAAACAAGCAGCGAACAAGCAAACCAAAGAUAGCUAUACAUAUCUGUAUUUCAAAUUAGUUAUAUAUGAACUAUACAAUCUGAUCAAACAAACCCAACCAUGAAGUAAACAAUCUAACAUUGUAUACAUGAACAGAGUAAAGAUAAUACAUGAACUAAACAAACUAACAUAGCUAUACAUGAGUAAAAGUGUAUAUGAAGUAAAAGGUCUGAACAAACAAAAUCAACCAUGAACCAAACAAAGUGAAGUAUGCAAACUUACUAAAUUCAUAUGAUUUGAUGUCUAGAUAAUCCAACUAAAUAUUUGGUGUCAAAACAAACAAACUGAACAAACUAAAAUUAGCUAACCAUGAAGUAAACAAUCUAACAUAGUAUACAUGAACAGAGUAAAGAUAGCUAUACAUGAACUAAACAAACUAACAUAGCUAUACAUGAGUAGAAGUGUAUAUGAAUAAAAGGACUGAACAAACAAACCCAACCAUGAACCAAACAAAGUGAAGUAUGCAAACUUACUUAAUUUCAUAUGAUUUGAAAUCUGUAUAAUCCACCCAAAUAUUUGGUGUCAAAACAAUCAAACUAAACAAACUAACUAAAAUUAGCUAACCAUGAACUAAGCAAAAUAAAAGUUAAACAUGAACUAAACAAACUGAACAAACAAAAACAACUAUAGAUAUGGAAAAUCUAGUAUACUACCUUAGCAAUCCAUGAGUUAUAGCAAACAAACAGCCCAAAUGUUGAAAUACUGCAUAUAAAGUAAAGCAUACAGCUAAUAUAAAAAGGAGAUAGUCCAUUAGUUCAGGCAUGCAGGUAUCUCGGCCCACCAUGCACACAAAAUAGAUAAUAAGUUUUUGCUAAUAUAAAACAUAAGUACUAAGGGUGUGUUUGGUUUGUCCGUAAAACUACUCCGAAAUUUUUUUUCGCUUGAAAAGCUGUUUUCCCUUGUUUGAUUGCUCAUAAAAAAAAUUGCAGGAAAAUUUUUUUUAUGGAUUCUCGGAAAAAACGAAGUUUUCGUUUUCCGCCCACCGCAAGCAGAAAACGAAAACUUGCUCCCAAAACGCGCGGCUCACAGCCGCUCAAAAAAACGCGGUCCACGAGAAAGCCUGGUUCUCGUGGAUCGUGUGAGUGGUCUAAUGUGGACCACUCACCCACUCCUCUCUCUCAUAUAUAUAUAUAUAUAUAUAUAUAUAUAUAUAAGGGUGAAAAAUUAUUAUACAUAGGAGAAAGAGAGAGAGAGAAGAGAGAGAAGAAGCUAGGCUAAUAUACAAUGGUAGCACGGAGGCCUCCAUGCAUAAAUUUGUAAUUAUUUAUUAAUAUCUCUAAAUAUAUAGCUCUUAUAUAUGAUGUAAUAUGUUUAUUAUAAUUUUAAAUAUAUUUAAUCUAUAUAUAAAAAUUAUAAUAAUAAUAUAUGUAAUAUAUUAAUUAUUAUAUAUUAAUAAUAUAUAUAAUAAAAAAUAUAUUAAUUAGUUUUUCAUCUAUUUUUCUUUUCCUUUCAACCAAACAACCGUCAUAGAAAACUAUUUAUCUUUUUCUACAAACCAAACACUAACGACGUAAAACUGCUUUUCCACCGAAAAUUUUUUUCCACCAAAUUUUUUUUUUCCACAGCUUAAUGUGGAACCAAACACACCCUAAGCGUGAGACCACCAAAAAGUGUGAUACUUCAGCAAUAUUUCUGUGAGCUUAAUUUAGAGGGAAAGAAAGUCCUUCCAGAGGAAAGAUAGGUAUAUCAGAAGGUUCGGGAGGAGCUGUUGGAGAAACGUGGCUGUAUGACUUGGAAAAGAUGGCCCAGGAGGGAAAGCUGCAGUUGCUGCCGGAAAGGAUUAUGGUCCAGGAGCAAAGGAUGAUGCUGUUGUUAGAAAGAAAGGUGCAGUAGUUGGGAAAGAUGGUGCAACAGGUCGUAGACCAUUGAACAUCUGAUGCAUGGCAAUUUUACGAUCUAUCCACAUGUACAAAAGAUCGCCAUACAAUGCCAUAAAAAUUGGCCUAUUACGCUCAUCUUUUAGAGCUUCACAAACAGCAAGUACACCAUCGGGAGACAACUUAGCAACAUUGCUUAACCUUUCCAUACAAUCCUCUAUAGAGUGAAUUUGGGUCUUGCUUGUAACUCUCGUUGCAUUAUAGUUUGUGCUAUUUCCGUUCUUUUCUUUCCCAAUUCAACAAACUCAUAAAUUGCUUUCGUUCGACCGUCAUCCUUUCGUCUUCGGGCUGAAGAUAGUGUAGGGAUUGGUGGUGAGACUCGAAGCCUCUUCAUUGAUGAAGUGUGGCCAGAGGCACUACCAGUAUAUUGGCUACUUACUUUAAUUGAAGUUGGUGUUGGAGACGUUGAAUUUGCAUCAUUACCAUCAUCUAAAUUCUGUGCUAAAUUCUCUAUGUUGAGCACAACCGGAGAUGAUGAAGAGGUGCUACGAACAUCCUCAACAUCCAUUUGAGAAGUAAACCCAUGCUUUCCGGUUGCAGUUGCCUUCCUGACAAAAACUCAAUAAAUUGAUAUGCAGGAAAAGGCUUGUCCCGGUACUUAGCAUAUGGUGGAUUUUCCUAUAAAAAUUAAAAGUCAUUGAUGAUAAGCUAAUAAACUCUACGUAAAAAAAAGCAAGUUUGCUUUAUAAAAAUUAGUAAUGAAGAAAAAACUUACCGCUAUGAUAGCAAACCAAUCAACAGGGUCACUGACGAUGGGAAUGUUUUCGUCCCAUCCCCAUCCACUUUUGUUCACCAGAGUUUGAUACAUCAAAUAUUGACGCUUCAAGAUUUUAAACCGAUUUUACAAAUGGACUUUGUUAAAGCCCAAUUUUGUCCUCCAAUUGAAAUCUGGAACCAUUCUAGUCCAUGCUAAUGGGGUAAAACUCCCAUUAACAAAAUUUCCAAGAGCACGCUACUCAGUCAUUAAGUUCAACAUUGUCGAGUCCAUUUUUUCUGUCCGUUUUGAGGAUCUUACUCGGCUUUUCGAUGGUUCUUGCACAACACAAUCUAAACUUUGGCUAUCAUCUGAGGGAGCAUCAGAGACUUUGUUUUUCAAAAUAGGAUGCAGCACCUUUUUAAGAGGGGCCAUCUGGGAUGAACGAGCAUAGAAAUCAUAUUUGUAUUACUACAAAUAUAUAAUACUGGUUUAGCACAAUAUUGAGUGAUAUAUUAUUUUGUCAAAACGCUGAGGGGACAAGGUUAUACAUGAUUCCAUGGCGGAUGCAAUUGUUUAAAAAAACCAUGCCACCCCUGCCAUGAAUAUGUAUAUCACCUUUCCCUACAUCAUUGCCAUUAUAUUUUUAAAACUGUGCCUCAAACUGAACUGGAUCAAAUCAGGAUAUAGCUAGUCGUUUUCAAUUCAUCAUAUGACCUCUUUGCAUUCUUACAUGAGUUAUGUUCAGCUGGAAGUUAUUUCAGCUUCAAAUUUUCUUCAAACCGACAGCUAUAUUAGAAUUUUUGCCAUACUUGUGUCUGUUGAUGGAUUAUAUAGUAAUAAAUAUAUCAGGUAGCUUUAGGUUGUAUGAAAUAAGAAAGCUUGCGUCAGUUUCAAGUCAACUAAUAAGCAAAUAAGUUUUUAAACAAUUCCAAACACACUUUAAAAAAGGUUCAUACUACUAUUGAACUAUAGAAAUAGACUUAACAUUAAUUUGUGAUAGUUAAUGUGCUUACUUGAGAAAAGUUUUUUAAAAAAUCAAUUGUAUCAAAUGAAGAAAGUACAAGGUUGUAUACCAAAAUAUAGAAACGGUAUGAUGCUAUCAUAACAUAUGAUCAGCAGUACAAGGGUGCUGUCAUGAAAUAUAGCAAUAGAGAUAUAAAAAAUCAAACAUAAAAGGAUGCAAAAAUACUGUAUAUCAAAUUAAUUUUUGAAGACAACCAUACAAAACUCAGAAAUUGUGGUUUUGUAAAAUACCUUCAAAUUGUAAAAAAAAUAUUUUGAAUUAACAGCAUGCGAGCAAAAGUGAAAGACAUAUCUACGAUAGCCUAGAAAAUUGGGGUAAAAUCCAUAAAACCUCACCUCGACGAGAUAAAUAGAAAGCAGAAAUUAUCAACAGCGAACACUUCUACACCAACACAGAUACAGUCUAGAUCCAAGAGAAUAGUAGCAAAGAUCAAGUUCCAAGCAAGAUGCAAAAAAGAACCAGUACCUUCGAAUCCCACUCAAUUUUAUAGAUGAAAGGGGGCACAAAUAGUCCAUGCCUUCUACCUGCAAGGUUGGUGGUCGCACUAAAUGGGUGACUCGACAACACAGGGUAGUUGGUGAGAAGAACGCACCUCGAUUUCUUGCCUUAGAAGCCCACAAAAGAAUUUGAGAGAAGGAAAUACUCGUUUAUACUAGUCAAAUCCGAGGGUUUGAGAGAGGGGUUAGCAAUGAAAAUGGAUCUUGACUGGGAUUUUCCUCAGAGAUUGCGAGAGGAGUAUGGAAGAAGAAAGUUAGAGGAAAGAGGAGUUACUAAUGAACGCAGAUCUGAUACGAGAUCUUGCUCAUUGAUUAUGGCCACUGCGAAAAGAAAGGCAUAGAGCAAAGGAUUUUGGUUGUCCAACACGAGGGGGAGGGAGAGCGGUGGAGUAAUGAGCGAUGAGAGAAGUAGGUGAAGAGCAUUACCGAAAAAGAAGACGAAGGAGCGCGCCCUCUUUUUCCAGCCCUUGCCCCUGGGAUAAACCAGCGGAAAUGCCCAAUUCCGCUGGUCCCAGGGGAUAGCUCUUAACAGGUUAUCCUUGGAUAAGGAUAACCCGUUAAGAGCGGGAUUAAAUAUUCCCCCUGAUUUAGGCAGUGUUUGGGUGGAUUAGCAGGAUAAAAUGGUCUAAACCCACUUUAUCUUGCCAACUAAACACAGCCUUAGAGGAUUAAUAUACUGCUUCCACGGUGAUUUUGUUUGUGAAGAGUUUUUUGAACUUGCUAAUACAAAACUAGUUAGAUUUAUAUUAAAAGUUUUCGAAGCCAUUUGUUAAGACCUAGUUGUUCUCGAGCAAGCUCUACAUUUCAAUGCUGUUGGCAGGAUCCUAUUUAUGGGUUGACUUAUCAUGGUGUGACUGUGCUAUAAACUAGGAACGUAGUGAUGAAGUCCAUAAAUGAAAAUAAAAUAAAAUAAAAUAAAAUAAAAUAUAGUUAUUUUAAUUAUUAUUUGAGGAAAUUGUAAAUUCCAUAUUUAGUGGGAUUAGUUUUUACUAGUUGAAUAAUAGUUGGUUAAGAAUAAGAGAAAAUCACUUUUCUUUUAAGUGAUUUGUAUAUUAUCUAAAUUUGAAAUAAUUGUUGUUGAAGGAUUAGAUAAAAUCCCUUAUUUUAAGGGUUUAUUUAGAUUUUUGAUCUUGUUUAUAAGCCCCACCAUAGAUAACAUUUCCAGAUCUCGAAUGAAAUAACUUUUUGGUAAUAAGGUUUUACCUUUGUCUACUCUCCCUCUCCUCUCUUUGGCCUGGAUUGGCUAGUACUCUCCCUCUCUCUUCUCCCCCAUCUUUUAAGAUCUGGAUUGGCCAAGCUCUUUAUUUCUCUCCUCUUUUAUCAGUUAUUUAAUUUUAAAUCAAUUUAAGGUUCUUUUCAAACAUUGAGCUUCAUUAAAUUAUUCGUAGUACAUGCCCCCCAUGUGGGACCUAGUAUAUUAAGCAUUAAUUUGUUGGUCAGGCACAUGUAGUUUCUAGCCUCAUACUUUGAUUGUAUUUCACUUUUACAUAAAUUUGGCUUUGUGUAAGGGCAAUUCUAGCUAGGCUGUGUCUAUAUCGCAUUUAUAUGUCUGCAUCAGUGUUCAAUAGACAUGAGAGUUACUAGUAGCAAGCAGCAACUUAGUCGGUUAGUAAAAGUAAAUGCCCUGUUUGAGAAAAAGUUCAUGUUGAAAUGCUAAUAUAUUGGGCUAUAAGGGUGAGAAGAAAGGUACUCCCCUGACUAGGUGCCAGUAAGUUAGUGUUGUGCUAAGUGUCGACUAGGCACCUUAGCACACUUGACACAAGUUUGACUUCCAAUAGAAUAAUCAAAGGCAUGAGUUUUGAAAAGAAAAAUUUUCAUGGUUUAUUAUUAUUAUUUUUGGAAUAAAAUUAUGAAUCAUCAAAAUGUUCUAAAGUAGGAAAUAACUUGAAAAUAGUCUUAUCGAAAUUUUCUUAGCUUCAUGGGCUUUUAAGAGAUGAAGAAUAUAUUAGUUGGUAGAUUAGCGUGUUGGAUGCCAUUAAGGGUGUAGACUUCUUUAACCCGAUUAUCCAAUUUGAAGAUGAUCAAAUGAUCCUGUUUAAGGAAACAGAUUUAAUAGCUUAUUUAGAGUUGGUUUUAUAAAAUCCAUUUACAGGGAAUCUAUUGCAUGUCUAAGGUUAUAUUAUUUUCAGAUUGAAACGGCGUUCCUUGGCGGCUUAAAUUUGGAAUCAGUUUCUUCAGAACCUAUUUUGACCUAUUAACACUUUGUAGGUACCAUAUAACCAACUAAGUAGAUGGCUAGCUUUUUUUGUCCUUUUGUCUCUUUUGACUUCUUGGUUUGUGUCAAUAAUGAUAACGUUUAAAAUAAAGUAAAAUAAAUGAAUUAAAUAUUAAUGAAAAUAUUACAUUAGGAAAUGAAAAUAAAAGAUAAGUACAAACACUUUAAUCUAUAAAGUGAGCACCUACAAUAUUUUGAUUUAGCAUGGAAGUAGAUAUACCUAUUGGUUAUCGACAUAAAUAGAUGUAUAUGAAAAAACAAAAGAAAAACAUUUAUUACUCUUUCCUUGAGAGAACAUAUUGAUAAUAGAUUGAAAUCAUUCAUGUACAUUUAGUGUAUAUAUAGGGUUCUAACUUGCGUGUAUCGAAGAUUAGGUGGUUGAAAAUCAUCAACGGGGCCUUUAAGCUGUGAUAUUCAUUUCUUAUUGGCCUCUUCCUUUCACAUGAAUUUGUCACAUGAAAGAGGAAUUUUUCUAAGUUAGAUGUUUAAUGUCGUUUUGUGAUUCAUAGACUGCAAUUGAAAGAAGUAGUUUGAAUUGAGUUGCAAUGUCCUCGAAGAAAACAUAGUUGGAAAGUUAUCUUGGUUCUGAAUUUAUAUGCCCUAGUUAUACUUUCUAUUUCUGAAUGCUUAAGCUACUUUAUACGGUGCAUCUUUAUAUGCUGAUCUUUUGUUUUGAAAUCAUGAUGGAUUUCUGUCUCUUAUGACAGGUUUUAUAUUUGCUUCGGAAAUAUUUGGGUGAAUAUGUUGAGGGGCUUUCAGUUGAAGCUCUUAGAAUAAGCGUUUGGAAAGGUUUGUGAUCUUUUGAAGAAUAUAUAAGCAUGUUAAUUUUUUGCUCUCUAUUUAUAUGUAUGUUUAACUGCCUGUAUACGUUAGCUGCAAGUUUAGUGAUUUAUAAUGAAUUCUGUAUAAUGGUUUAUAAAUUAGAUGCAUUGAUGCAUCAAAUUAUUUCUUUAUGUAAUAUUUAACAUUUUGUUCGCAAUGUGUGCUUAUAUUGAGUCUGCAUUGAAUGUUUAUUUAGCUUGGUACUAUUUUCAUGCUAAAAUUGUAUCAUAGUAUUUUUUCCAUUCUAAUUUCUACAUGUUAAUGUUUUGUAUUCGCGACAUUCAUUCCAUGGUUGAUGACAAUGGACACGAAGAGUUGAGAUCUUUAGUGAUUCAAGAUGAUUUGCUCUCUCAUGAUUGACUAGUAGUCUUAACAUGGACAUCUUUCCUGAGAAACUCUAGAAUGAUAGGAAUGUUAACUUGUAAAUAUCUGGGUCUUGAUCCGCAAUUUCGAUUCUAUUGGUGUGACUACACGUAGCAUCACUUUUUUGAUGUUAUAUUUGAUUCAGUUCCUGUAUAUUCUUUAAAUCAAGGUUUAAAGUGCUGCCUUGUGCCGAAUGGCAUUGGGUGUGCCUUACUGUGGCCCUAAUUUGGGGCACAUUACCAAGGGCUUGCUGGGGUUGCCCCUGGUGUCGCAGCAUGCAUCAUCAGUUUUUUUGUUUUUUUUAAAAACUUAGGCACACAACAGAGCCUUUUUUCUUUUCUUUUCUUUCCUUUUUCUUUUGCAGCAGAAUCUUUUUUUCUUUUUUUUGGUUUUGGUUCUUUUUUCCCCCCUCUAGCAGAUGCUUUUAUCUUUUUCUUCUCUACUUUCCUCUUUUUUCUCUUCUCAUAUUUCUUUUCCUUCCUUUUCUUCUCACAUGUUUUUCUUUAUUUUCUUCUUUCUAUCGCUUCUCUUUCCUCUUUAAUAACUUCUCUUUUAAAAGGAAAGGUGAAGAAAUACCAAAAUUUUAGUUCUACUUAUUAGGUAAGUCAAAAUAUUUAUAAUAAAAAUUUUUUAUAUAGAUUUUAAAUACUUGUAACUUAUAGAGCUCUUUUUGAAGAAAUAUGAAUUUUUGUAAAUUUCUAUUUAUAGUUUACAAAAAAUUUGAAAAUAGAUCCACUUGAUCUAGUCAUUAUAUGGUCCGCUUUUUAAUUUUAGUGGAUAGAUGUAUCAUUCUACUAAUGUUGUUGUUGUGCAGUUUUUACCUCAAUUUUUGUAGAUGAAACUAGCAUUUUUUUCAUAAAAAAUUGAAAUAAUAAUAAUUUUUUAAUUUAUAAUUUUAAAAUUUUAAAAAUAAAAGAAUAUGUAAUUCACUUCCUAUUUCACGUCAUCUAGUCUUCAUAAUACCUUAAACUUUUAUGGAUUGAUCUUGUCAUCUUGGACUAAACAAAAGUUUCAAGUACAAUUUCACCUAAUGUUAGAUUUACAAUUUUUAAAAUGUAAUAAAUUAAAAAAUCGAAGUAAUUGGUGUUUAAUUUGCCUAAUUUAUUCAUCAUAUGGUUACUGUCAAAUUUUCAUGGAUAGAUCUCACAAUUUUUCAUAAAGAUUAAAAAAUAGUUUUUAAAUUUUUGACUAUAUAUUUAAAAAACUUGAAAAUGAAAGAAAUUAUUGGAGCAAUUGGUGCCUAUUCUAGUUAAUCUAGUCGUCAUAUGCUCCCUCUUUGAAUUAAUAUGGAUGGAUCUUGCAAACAUGAAAUUUUUAAUAAAAAAGAAAUUAUCACUAAUUUUUUAGUUUACAAAUUUAAAAUUUGGAAAAUAUAAAGAAUCUUGACAAAAUGUAAUAGAAGAGAGAAGUAGAAUAUGAACAAGGUCGAAGAGUAUAAUGAAAAAAAAGAGAUUACAGCGGAUUCCUACAGUGUUAGAUAAAAAUAAAUAAACAAAUCGUGCAAGUGCAAAAGCUGUGAGAAGAGUGAAAAAUAUAAAUUUAUGAUCAGUCACUUGGUGAUGCUAUUUUAUUCAAUUAUGCAACACACUGCAACUAAAAGGAAUAUGUGGUAUAUCAAAAUUCUACAGAGUACAGACUAAUGAAUCAUAAAAUAGAUAAGCCAUAAAGUAGUACAUAGAUAAAAAUAUAUAGCCAAAAUUCAUAAUUAUUACCCUAAAACUUUUAAAAUAACAUGAUAAGACCUUUUUGGAACCAAAAAAACUAAUAUAAGACCAUGCCAAAGUGUGCCAUUAGGAGGCCUUGUAUGUCCAUCGGCACGCUUGUGUUGGCAUGGAGGCGUACGUAUGCCGUACCGUGCCAGCCUCCUACGGGUAUGCCGCUGUGCCAUGACAAUGUAAUCCUCUUUCUUUAAACAGUUGACUGGUGUAGUUAUCCACAAUUUUGUUUUUUAAUGUUUGAUCUAAAUUUAUGUAAAGUUUCUAUAGUCGGCACAUCACUUGGUUAGGAAUGCAUGUACUUUGCUGAAAGUGAUGUUCAGAUUUGUACUCAUUGCCUUGCAUUAACAUAUACUCGUUGUGUAUGAAUUCUCUUUCUUCAUUUGAAGAGACGAACUAAUACUGGUAGGAAUCUUAGUCUACUAAAACUUUCAUGUCUUGCUUCAAGGGUUUACUGGGUGUUAUGUUAUUAGAUGUACAUAAAUAUAAACCACAUUCAAUAGUUGUUGAUGCUCUUAAAUUUUGGUGCAGUGAAAUUUUUUUUGUAACUUAAUGCAAAUUUUUGAGCACAAUCUAUUAUUUUAUGGUUGACGUUUGCUUUGGUCUGUUAAAGGUGAUGUUGUUCUCAAAGAUUUGAAGUUGAAGGCUGAAGCACUUAAUUCUCUCAGGCUUCCUGUCACAGUCAAAGCUGGGUUUGUUGGUACCAUAACUCUAAAGGUACUUUAAUUAUUGUUAUGAGGCCUAAAUCAUUGCAGCUAUGUAAGAACUAUUAUUAGAUCAGUUGCCUCUUGAUAUUGGCUGCGCCAUCUUUCAAUGGGAAGGACUAUUUCUUGUUAGUUGGUGCUAGUAGCAACAAUACACUAACCAUUUGGGCUGGCUUUGGUAGGUUCUACUGUGUACAUUUUCAUGCUUUCCUAAUUUUUGGCUUGUAUUAUUAUUAUCUUUGGUCCUUUCAUCACUCUUCUAAUCCUUAGUGUAGAUAUAUAUGAACACCUUUAGACAUACAUACACUAAUAUGGUUCCUUAAAGGUCUAUGCUCAUUGUCCUCCCGCAUUGGCAUGUCAGCUCCAUAGCAAGUCAUACGUCAUUCUAUUCUUUGUAUAUGAUGGCAUGUGAUGGUAUUCUAUGACAUGAACAUAAACAUUUAUAAUUUUAUUGUCUUUUGGGGGUUCAAAGAUGAAAUGAAACGGUCAAUAAAAUUAUAUGACGAACAAAAAUAAGAUGAAACAGUAGAAUGUGAUUUUCAUACAUUAUUUAUGUUGUAGAGUUGCUUGUGGCGUCACUUGAUACCAUUUACUAUUGCUUGAUAUGCUGCGGAAGCAUAGGGUCAAAGACUCGUUAUUAGAAAUGCUCAACACUACCAAAGCUGAUUGGCUGGCAGAGGUGGCCCGGAACAAGUGUGACAAAACUUGUGGAUAACCUUUAGGGCGCGUUUGAUUCGAGUUAUGUAGGCAUUACAUGUUAUUUCGACAUAACCAGGUAUCUGAGAUUUCUGAAUCAGAUUACUACUGAUACUGCAUUACUCCGUUUGGUUAAUGCAGUAAUGUAAUGUUGGAUUACAGUGUAUAUAGAAUUACUAUGUUUGGUUCAGUUUAUAAAAUUCAGUAAUUCCUGUUGUAAAGUGUAGUAUAUUCCAAAAUUCCCCUUGUUGUCAUAUUUAAUAAAUUUUUUUACUAAACUAUAAUUUAAUAUAAUUUGCACUUGAAUUAAUUCUAUUAAUGACCAAUAUAAAUAAAAUGAACACAAGAAAAAAUAUUUAUGAAGCCAAAAAAUAAUUCAACCUAUAUAAAAAUGAAUAAAAAAUCGAAAUAUCAGCGGCAGAGAUGGUGGCAUGGCGAUGUCGACGGCAACUUUGGCGAUGGUGUCAGAUGGCGGCGGCGACUUUGGCGGUAGAGAGGCGGCAGCGAUCUCGACGGCGAUGUCGGCGACUGAGGUGGUGGCUACUGAGGUGGUGGCAGCCAGCUCUUAGUUGAGAUUGGUAGUGGGGAAGGUUCGUGCGAAUAAAAAUAGAGGAAGGGGGAGGGGGAAUUGGUAGUGGGGAAUGUUCGUGCAAAUAGAAAUAGAGGGGGGGAGAUAAAUGAUGUAUUGAAAGGAUUUGGAGGGUUAGAGGGGUAAAAUCAUAAUUUUACAUAAUAUGCAAGAUUACCUGCCAUCAGUAAUAUGAGAUACCCAACCCCCCACUCGGUAAUAUUUUCGGUGUAAUCUUGCACCAUUUGUAAUGCUACAAUACCAACCAAAUUAUGGACUAGAUGAACCAAACACUAUAAUCCUAGUAGGAUAACCCAAAUCAAACACGCCUUUAGUUCAAUUAAGUGAUCAGCCAAUUUACUAUGUGGUCCAUAGUUAACAUUAGAGACAUACUUAUGUGAACAAUUUAAAGGAUCGAUAGUCUUUUAAUUGGUUUGGGUAUAGGGAGUUUGUAUAUGAAAAUACUGUUCUUAAUUAUCUGUUAUUGUGUAUUUUAGUAUGUGAAGGAGUCUUAGAUACCAAGUUUGAAAUGUUAGUGGCAUAGGCGGUGGGAAUUGGACCUUGGCAUGGGAUAACCUGUAACGACCCAACCCACUAACAUUAAUAAUUUGUUGGGCUUAAACCACUAGCUGAAAAUGCUUAAGCUUUGUUAUCAAUAGUAAUGUGCUAGCCACAUAUAAGACCCUCAUACUCUCUCACAUUAUCCGAUACUAAACUAUUGUGGUGUCAUAUAGCCUAACAUUGCGCAAUUGUCAGCUUGUUGGUACGACAAACAUGUUGCUGAAAAGCAAUAGUUUUAAUUGUGUUGAAGUGGCAAUUAUUGAAGUUAGUGAUUUUCAAUGAUAGCCCGUUGUGAUUUGAUAUUGUUAGUGAUGGUGAAGAGAAAGAAGAGGCAGUGGCCUUUGAACGAGGUGGAUAGUGAAUAGGAAGAAGAAGUGACAGUUAUUUUAGUUUAGGAUAUGAAAAGGGGUUAAAUAAACAGUUACAAUUUUAUUUUGGUCAUUACCAUUUAAUUUAACGUGUUGGCCGGCUUGCCACUUCACAUACUUGAUACUUGCCAUCAUCUAUACAACUUAUUUGACCUUUAUUAGUGACUUGAAUAUGGAAUUCUUUGAUGCGUUAUGUUAAGAGUUUGGUACUCGCUUUAAUACCAACUGUUGGAAAUCUGCAACCCGCUCUGAUACCCACGGCUAUAAAUUCAAUACUCGCUCCGAUAUCGGUUGUUGGGAUUCCAAAUGGAAGUGUCAAAUCGGACUUUUACCAUAUAUCCGUCUCCUUAGCAAAAGAUGGCACAACCAUAAAAGAGAGAAAACAAGAAAUAUGGGUGAAAUAAGAUUCAUUAACCAAAAGAAGAAUCACACUUGACUCCUCUUCCAUACAGAGUUGCAUCAAUCCGAGCCCUCUUUUUGAAUCUCUCUCAACCCUCUCUCGUCUUUUAUAGCAUGAGAGGACUUCUCUUGUUGAAAUUGGAGCUCUCCUCAAAACACCCAACUCCAACUAUUCCUACACACCUAUACUCUAGGUGCACUAAAACACACGACCAACUCUCUCUCUCUCCUUUUGGUAUAGAAACCCAGGAUUGGCCGUAGUAUGCACCAGGGAGCUCUUUAAAAUCUGGUCGUACUACUACAAAACAACAGCACAUGCUAUAUAUAUAUAUAGCUUACAUAAAAAAACUAACCCCAAUACUUGUCUAAUUUAAUUUAUACUCUAAUUAAUAUUUAAGUCCUAAUCAGUUUAACUUCAACAGAUUUAAAUAUUCAUUUUAAUCCAACUAAGAUUCAACUACAAAUUUAACCAAGUCCUAGCAAUCUCUACCUUAGUUUGAUUUGUAGUUUUCAAUUGCUAUGUCGAGCUCACCAUGCAAGGUCCACCUUGAGCUUGUCUCCUUCACUCAAUGUUGUCGCAUCCGUCGCUCCAUCUUGAGCGACUGCACCUUUGCGAACUUUUGGAACCUAAACUGUCUUUGCUAUCGUUCUGACUGUGCUUUUGUUCAGAACGUACAAGUUCCCGCUUUUGUUCCCUCUUUCCCCACACGACCCAAUCUCGUUUCAAACCUUCGUAGUUCAACCAAAAGUUGAAAAAUCACAACCCUCGAGUCCAACACGCCUAACAAGAUCAAAUUUCGCUUCAAACCAGGACACAUGUCAGAGUCCUCACGACUACAUCGUGCAUUCAGAUCUUUAUUAUGCCUAUUCCUAAAACUUUGCAUGUCGUUCCGCUCCCCAUGAAAGCUUUUCCAUUUAUGAUUGCCUUAUAGGUAGAAAAAGACUCUUUUCUCCGGGGCAAACGUGAAAGGAACAGGCCGAAUUGAGCACUCAUGCAUCAUUCGAAAUUUUCACACUGCCAGUUGCCGUGUACAACACAUUAGAAUUAAUUACCUUUGAUUUUGCCGUCUGUGCGAUCGCUAAUGUCUCCUCGUGCUGGUCUACGAUAGUUUUUCCUUUUUGCCGCUUCGUCGCCCUCAGAUUAUUCUGAAAUUUUUGAUAAUUGCGCGUAUAGUGACCUUACCUGUGACAGUAGAAGCACUCCACCUCGGAUAGCAACUUCUUUUGUCUAUCUCCGAUCGUCAAUUUUUUCGUCUCCUUCGCUCUUACCAACAGAGCUAUAUCCCGGCUUUGUGUGCCAUAGUCUUGAGCUAUCUCUUGCAUCUUGUUCGAGGGAAGUGCUGUGACUGCCUCCGCGCAUAUGGUGUCCUUGCCACAAAGCAACGUGGUCACCAAAUGCUCAUAUGCUGCCGGAAGCGAAGAUAAUAAAACCAACGCCUUAUCCUCGUCAUCCAGAUUGACUUCAAUACUAGUCAAUUGGGUCACCAUCUUGUUGAACUUGUUUAGAUACUCAUGUAGGCUCGCAGUAUGAACAGUCGUACUUCAGAUACAUCAUGUUUGUGAGGGAUUUUGUCAUGUACAGAUCUUCCAAUUUCUUCCACAGUUUCGUCGGUGUAGAUUCCCUCACUACAUUGUAAAGAACCUCAUUUGUUAACAAUAGAUGAAGCGUACAUAGCGCUUUCCACUCCAUGUUUUCCCAUGCUGUAUCCUUGACCUUUGUCGGCUUCGCCUCUUUUCCAUUUAACGUCUCAUCCAACUCUUGUUGUAUGAGGAUUGCCCGUACUUUAAUCAGCCACAAGCCAAAAUUGUUUUUGCUGCUGAACUUCUUGACUUCGAACUUCCUGGCCAUCACCAUCGAUCUCUUUUGAGAAUCAGUAACCUUAAGCUCCGAUAACAAUUGUAGGGAAUUUGGUACUCGCUCUAAUAUCAGAUGUUGAGAAUCCGUAACCCGCUUUGAUAUCGACUGCUGUUAAUUCGGUACUCGCUUCGGUAUUGGUUGUUGGGAUCCGCAAGGAUCUCAGUGAAAGCGUCAAAUCAGAUUUUUACCAUAAAUCCAUCUCUUCAGCAAAUAUGGCACAACCAUAAAAGAGAGAAAAACUAAACAGAAAAUACGGGUGAAAUAAGAUUCAUUAGCCAAAAAACGAAUUACACCAGACUCAUACAGAGUUAUUUCAAUCCGAGCCUUCUUUCUGAAUCUCUCUCCCCCUCCCUCUCGUCUUCUAUAACAUGAGAAGACUUCUCUUGUUGAAAUUGGAGCUAUCCCCAAAACACCCAAGUUCAAUUAUUCCAUCGCACCUAUACACUAGGUGCACCAAAAGACAUGAUCAACACUCUCUCUCCCCUUGGUACGGACACCUAGUAUUGGUCGUACUAUGCACCAGAGAGCAUAAUAGCACCUAUGCUAUACAUAUAGCUUACAUAAAAAAUCUGACCAUACAACUCCUUCAAAAUAACAGCACCUAUGCUAUACAUAUACCUUACAUAAAAAAUCUGACCAUACUACUUCAAAAUAACAGCACCUAUGCUAUACAUAUAGCUUACAUAAAAAAACUACCCCAAUCCUAAUCUAUUUAGAUUUCUACUCUAAUUAAUAUUUAAAUCCCAGUCAAUUUAACUUCAACAGAUUUAAAUAUUUAUUUUAAUCCAACUAGGAUUCAGCUACAAAUUUAACCAAAUCCUUACACGCUCUUUUAAUGGAGAGACAUAUCUUUGUGGAUGUGGGUGCCUAGGGGAUGAUGAUGGGCAUCGACUGAAUGAUGGCCGGCUCCAAGGGGCUCAUGCGGUCCUCACCGGCACAGCUCUAUAUCAUGUAGCAUAUAGCGUCCAGGUGCUAUGUAUCGCAGCUAAUUGCUACACUUUGAGACCCUACCGGUACUGUAGUAGGCACCCGCUUGUUGGUGGUAUGGUCAUCACAACACGGUACUUAAAAUGCGUGUUAGGGACAAGCCACCCACGCAAUUUUUUGCACCAGACAAUAAAUUAUAUUUUUCUGGAGAAAAAAUUGAGUAUAUUUUUCUGGAGAAAAUUCUAGGAUUCUCAGGGAGGGUUUCUUUUCAAUUGUAAGGUGUGUCAAGAGAGCAAGAGCAAUUGUGAGCAUGAGGCUGAAUCAAACUUGUCAGGUGCAUUAGAUCUAGCUCUUCUUUGCUGAAGAGAUUGUUCAAGGCAAUAUUCAUAGUGAAGUCUAUGGACUUUGGGAAUUGAGCUAGGAUACUUUUAGAAGCACCAACCUCUUGGUGCUUCUAAGUUUCUAGCCCUUGGAUCUACUCCUUGAUUACUAAUAGUCUUUGGAUCAAACACUAUUCCACCUACCCCCACCUACCACCACCUACCACCAUCAUCUCAACCCUACAUCUCUCCAUUCAAGGGCUUAAAACUCAAAAGCACCAACCCAUUGGUGCUUUUGGGAGUAUUCUAGCUCUACUCUGGACUUUGGUUUAUCCUUCUGAUCCUAUACUCUGCUGUGCAACUCUUUGUUCAUGGUCCCAAGAUUCACUAUCUAACUCACUGUGGCAUUGCUUUUCCUAGGUUUCUAUUUUAUGAUGUUUAGGUAUAUGUUUUGUUUUUCCUUCUUUUUUGUUUCUAUUCUGUUUCCUUCCAUAUGCUUUAAUCGGUUCAACUUAUAAAUCUACAAAUUUGCGUUUAGGUUCCUUGGAAAAGCCUCGGGAAAGAACCAGUGGUUGUGCUUAUUGAUCGUGUGUUUGUACUUGCACAUCCUUCUCCAAAUGGGCAAGCUCUCAAGGUAAUGCGUCGCAAUUGUUUAGGCAUUAAGAAAAUGGUUAUGAUAAUUAAUUGAUAUAAUAUAACUGCCAUGCUAACUUAUACAUUGAUUUUCACUUGUACCUUUUCAGGAGGAAGAUAGAGAAAAGCUUUUUGAAGCUAAACUUCAGCAGAUUGAGGUAUAAAUAUUUGCUGAUUCACUAAUUAAACAACUGUUUACUUAAAUUUUAUCAGUUGUACAUGGCAAAUUAAAAACUAACCAUGUUAUUUGUUAUAUUUAUGUUGUGUUUAGACCUUUGUUUGCAAUUGUAUUGACUUAGUGAUCGUCCUGAGCAUCAUUGGUUUUUACUAUAACAUAUAUGUAGCUUUAUGAGACUAUUUAUUUCCUUGUUUCUUAUUUCCAACCAAGUAAUGUUUGAACCAAGGUAAUCUCUUCUUUUUAUGAUAUCAAAUUAACAGCCAGGCUUUACAAAUCCUAACCCUUAUAGUAUGAUAAACCAUUAGCUUGUUCUAUGGUGUUAGACUGAAUGCGAUUGUGACUGAUCAAGACCUCAGCUUUUGGGUAAUAUUAAGCAGAGCAAUAGGCGUAAUCCGGUAGGCUUUGUGAUCCUUGCCUGAAUCAAAUGCAUUGUGCUUUCUGCUUGGAUUUGUCUGACCAAUUUUUUACGGGUGCAACAAAGUAAUGGAAAAGCUAGACGAACAAACAUCAAGUAGUUCUCUAGAUCCUCAAAAUUGGAUAUGAUUGUCGCUUGCUUUUUUGAAUAGUGCUUCCCUCUGGUCAAACUGAAUGCAGUGAUUUUUUCUGGCACAACAUUCCAGCUAGCAGAAGUAUUUUCAUGAUAAUGUUGGUAUUUCUAUUUGCUUUCAAGCUUUGGGAGUGUUUGUGCUCCUGGCCUAUUGCAUAUUGAUACUUAAUAUUUGGCUCCUUCCUCUGCAUUGUUUAAAUGGCUAUUGUUUAAACUAUUUACAGUUUAUGUACAUCAAAAUUUUCAAACUCUAAUAUGUUAUUGUUGAUCAUGCUUACAGGAGGCUGAGGCAGCAACCCUUGAAGCAACAACUAGAAACUUAAAAGCUGGAGUAUGUUUUUCCCUUUUCAACUAGUUAAUCGUUUCUUUCCUGUAUAGUUCCUUGCUUUUUGAGAUCUUUGCAAAAUGUAUAUUUGAUCUGUUUGUUUCUACUUUCUCAGAAUUCCACGUGUAAUGAUGAGUACAGUUCAUUUUUCAAGGAACUUGUACUUUCUGAAAACAGGACAUGCUGGCUAAUAAAGUUUUUGUAAUACAGAGAUUUGAUUUAUGUUUCUUGUGACAUGCAUAAUAUAAUAAAGCUUUUCUCUUAAAUAUUUCCGUUAGUUUUGCUCUACAAGUCUACAACCAUAUAUUUGUCAGGAGUAAUGAUGCAUCUGACACACCAGCAUGCUAGUAUGAAACAAAAAAUAAAUAUGGCAAGAUCGUAGGGAAUUUGACUUGUAUUACCAUUCUAUGAAUGAGUGUGACAAUUACUAAGCUUUAUAGUAGAUGCCUUGUGGAUCUUUUUGUCAUGCAUUUGACAUCUUUUAUUUAGGUGUUUUUCCUAGUCAUUAUAACUAGAGAUACGUGUGUGAAUUUGACGAGAAUAUUCUCAUGGUAGGUGCCUGGCAGAACUACGUGGUUGGGCUCUCUGAUUGCCACAAUAAUUGGAAACUUGAAGGUCACUAUCAGUAAUGUGCAUAUAAGAUAUGAGGAUUCUGUUAGGUGUGUUGGUUACUGCUCUUAAAUGUCUAAUUUUUGUAUAUUGAUAUAACAUGCGUUUAUGCUGCACUUCUUGCUUUUUGAAACUCUUUUACAUGACCUAUCACUUUUCAGUAAUCCUGGACAUCCAUUUUGCUCUGGUGUCACUUUGUCAAAGCUUGCUGCUGUUACGAUAGAUGAGGAUGAGAAUGAAACAUUUGAUACGAGCGUAGCCCUAGAUAGGCUACAUAAGGUUAGAAUCAGCUUAAUUUAUCUUACUUUUUAGUUAAUAAGAUCUUUGGCAUUUUUUUGAUGUCCGUUGAGUUGUGUAAGGUAGAAAACCUAAAGUUUCUUAAUUAUUAUGUGCAAGGAUUAAAGUGCCGUCCCGUGCCGUACGGCACGGGGCGGCAUGUACCGUGCCCUAAAGAAGGGGGCACGGUACAAGGGGGGUCUCGCACCCCCCUAGUCUCGCGGCACGCAGGUGCGUGCUGCGCGAGACAACAGUGUGCCGCGCCCUUUUUUUUUUUUUUUUUUUUUUUUUUUUGCUUUUUGGCCUUUUCUUUUUCUUUUUUCUUUUGUUCUCUGGGGUACCAAGCCCAUAUUGCUUUUUAUUUAUCAAUAUCGACUCGAGCCCUCUGCUUCCACCACAGACAUCUAUAUUUUUUCUUCACAAAUUAUUUUGUCAAAAUUUGUCGCACCGCGAAGCUUUCGGUGAAUCAGGGGAACAAAAAUCGAUCUCCUAAACAAAUUUUGAUCAUAUAUUUUUUAAAAGAAUAAAAAGAAAUAAAAUAUGAAUGUAAUUGCUGUCCUAUUAUUUUACUUGCGAAUUUUAUUAUUGCAUUUUAAUUUUUAUUCUACAUCAGGUAUAGUUGUACUUUAUAUACAAAAAGCUUACAUACAUGUUGAUGAGUAUAAUAAGCUAUAUAUAGCAAAUAUUCAUAAUUAUUUGUCUAAAUCUUUCAAAAUAACAUUAUAAGAGCUUAUUGGAACAAAAAAAAACUUAAAUAAGUCCGUGCCAAAGCGUGCCAGUGGUCAUGCGUAUCCAUCGGCACGCAUGCGUACCACGUGUCCGCACGAAAGCGUGCCUGUGCCAUACCAUGCUAGGGAAAGAGCGGCAUGCCUCCAUGCCACGGCAUUUUAAACCUUGAUUAUGUGUACAUGUUUCCUGUCAUGUGGGAGUCGAGAAGCAGAGCACAUUCCUUUGUUACAUUUUAGUCUGCAACAUUCCUUUCUUCUCAAGUUCUCAUUUCUAUUUUAUCUUCAUUUUCUAGCUUCGAUUUCUUUUUUUUUUUUUUCGUGCCAAAGACGAAUGGCUUUUUUUUAACAUAGGACAUUUGCAUAUUUUACAUUUUUAUAGAUGUAAGUUGAUGGAUAGCAAAGAUUAGUAAUAUUAUGUACUUAAAGGGAAUAUCAAGUUCUUGAUAACUGUCUUUGACGCCCUGUUGCAUUUGCUAGAAAUCAAUGGCUGUACUUUAUGGUGUCAUUUACCCUUCAUGCAUAUGCCACCUUGACCAAACUGCAUUUUCAACUAAAACCUUUGUCAUGUAUACUAUGCAAACAGGCCUGCCUCAUUUUUGAACUAAGCGAACCUUUGAUUCGGAUUUAGGUUGUUUCGAGUGGCCUUUAUUUCGAUUGCUGUUUGUGACCAUUUGGUAUUGGUUGAAAUGGUAAAUUGAGAACUCUCUUUUUACCUUAAAUCAUAUGAGUCAAAAGAUGUCGGGCUGGCUCCAGACAUUUAGUUUGCCUGUUUUUAAUUUCCUACCAUAUUAUUCUAGAAUGGAUACUCCUCUUAGCUGAUCCAAAUCCGCAUAGAAAAUCGGAGAGUUUGCGCCAGUCUUCGAAAUAUACUUAUUUGGAUGUUUGGGGACUGGAGUCUUGGAGUAUUCUUGUGUCGAAUAGUCAAUAACUUUCUUAUCUCUCUCAAUACUUUGUCUCUUCUUCCUUUCUUAUUUUCUCUUGUUUUGAACCCUGUAGGUCCUUGAAGAGUUCAGAAAUUUUAGACAUCAGAAAAGUACUUAAAUGUUAGUCUUCUCAUAGAAAAAAAAAGUUUGAUGCCGUAGCUUUCUCUAAAGUGCUCUUGAGGGAAUUUAUUUAGUUAUUUUUGACCUUAUUGAUUUUGAAUUUGGCUGAGCCAAGUAUUUUGUGGUUGAUAAGGUGAACGCAUAAGUGCCUAAGUAUCACGGUCUGCUGUCUACUUGGUACGGUACGGCACGGGCACGCUUCCGUACCGACACAUGGUACGCUUGCGUGCCGAUGGAUACGUAUGACCUCCUACUGGCACGCUUUAAUACAGACUUAUUUCAGUUUUUUUAGUUCCAAUAAGCUUUUAUAAUGUUAUUUUAAAAUAUUUAAUCAAAUAAUUAUGAAUAUUUGCUAUGUAUAACUUACUAUACUCGUCAAUUAACAUACUUGUAGAGUUGAGCUGGAAUACUAUUAAUGGUAUUUGGGCUCUUUUGCUAUCGAUUUUUCAGCCGUUAGAUCUAUAUUUUAAUCAAUUCGAUAUACUUUAGAUUAUACUAUUCAACCAAUCACCCACUCAACCCUGUGGAGACCACUACUAAAUCCUAGGAGACCAUUAUCAUCCUAGCCCUACAAUUUUUCAUCCAAGAGUUAACAAGUCGAUAGCAAAAGAGCCCAAAUACUAUUAAUAGUAUUCCAGCCUAAUUCCAUACUUGUAAGCUUUUUUGUAGGUAAAGUACAACUACACCUGAUGCAGAAUAAAAAUUUUUAUAGGUUAGAAUUUUAAAAAUGUAAAGACAUCUUUCUUUCUUUCUUUUGACCAUAUUACAGUUUUUCUUUUAUAAAAUACAAAAACUAAUUUUUAAAAUAAUUUUUAAAUUAUUUGAAAAAUUAUUUUAAAAAGUAUUUGAAAAAAUUAUUUUUUAAUUAAAUUUUUCAAAAAAUUAUUAGAUCUAUCAAAAAAAUUAAGCAAUAAAUUAUAUGACAAAUAAAUUAAAUAAAUUUAAGUAUCUACUGUUUGUUUCUCUACUUAUGUCAAAAAAGAGUUUGCUAAAUAUUUCUGUUUCUUUAUUUCUGCUUAUGUCAACUCAAUUUACAACUCAUCUACCCUUUCCCUCCAAGUUUCUACUUUGACGGCAUGUUUCUGUUCCAAAGUGAUGUAUUCUAAUUCAUGUUUCUUUUUCCUGUGUUUUAGUUCUUGCAACUACAGAGAUUAGCUAUCUAUCAUGAUUCUGACAACAAUCCCUGGAAACUUGAUAAAAAGUGGGAAGAUUUGAGUCCUACAGAGUGGAGUGAGGUUAGCUCAUUUAUUGCAUUCCCAUAAUGAGAAUUUUCUGUUAUUGUUUAUAUCCAUGUUAUUAGGUGACGAACUGUUGUUUUUAGAUAUUUGAAGAUGGGAUUGGUGAAAACUCAGUGCAUGGAACUUCAAUUUGGGCAAAAGAUCGCAGAUACUUGGUUUCACCUAUAAAUGGAAUUCUUAAGUACCAUCGUCUUGGAAGGCAAGAAAGAGAGGACCCUGAAAUUCCUUUCGAGAAAGCUUCACUCAUUCUUAGUGAUGUGUCUUUAACUGUCACAGAGGUCCUUAACAUUUUAACAUUUAAAUUCUUCCAGGUUUAUCAGACUUGUCCUGUUUAUUAAUUAUUGCAGCAGAAAACUUAUGUUCGCUUUUGCUUAUAUCAGGCUCAGUACUAUGAUGGUAUAAAGCUCUUAGAAGAAUUUUCGAAAUAUAAGACACGUGUUGAUGUAUCUCACUUAAGACCCGUGGUACCUGCUUUAGAAAAUCCUCGUGCAUGGUGGCGGUAUGCCAUGCUGGCUGGUCUGCAGCAAAAGAAAUUGUGGUAUGGGUCUGCAUAAGUGGGAACUAUUAAUGACAGUUUGCUUCCAUUUGUUUGGAAAUAAAGAUUUUUCCCUUUUGCUUUGCAAAUCAGAUUUAGAUGUUGGUUAAAGAAGUGUAAUUUUGCCUUUUUUUGCAUCAGUUAUUUCUUGAUAUUGUUUCAGCUUCCCAGUAUUGUCAGAUUGUUUCGUUGAUUUAUUGGGGUAUCUGAAGUAUUCAACUUACCUGGAAGUUUCUUUUUUCUGUUCAGCUACUUUUUCUCAUGGGAAAGAAUUAAGAAUCUUUGUCAGCUCCGUCGUCGUUAUGUUCAACUAUACGCGAAUUUACUGCAACAGCCAUCGUGUGCAGAUGUCUCCGAGAUCAGGCAGAUUGAGAGAAAUCUUGAUUCAAAAGUUAUAUUGCUUUGGAGGUGGACCUCGUUAAUAUCUCACUAUUAUCUUAUAUAAACAGUGUAAACUUGGACAUAAAAUGCCUUGUUGUUUUUGACUUAUUAACUGCCCUUUGGGCCAUGAUUUGUAUUAUGCAGGUUGCUAGCACACGCAAAGGUUGAGUUCGUAAAAUCAAAGGCAUCACAGAGGAAGAGUACCUCAAAGAGAAGCUGGUGGUCUUUUGGAUGGUCCGUAGGAUAACUAUCUAUUUUACUGUUUAUGCAUUUCUCAUGUUUUACGUUAGUGUUUUUUGUAUAAGUUCUAUAAUUUAGAUUUUGUAUUCAUCAGAAUGAGGAAGCACUUCUCUUGUGUUUAUACCUUUUCCUUGGUAACUAUAGGAGCACCUCUGGGGAGGCCUCUGUGCAAAGUGAUUCAACAGAAGUGCAGUUGGCUGAGGAGGAAAAGCUGACUAAGGAAGAAUGGCAAGCAAUCAAUAAAUUGUUAAGCUACCAAACAGAUGACGAUGCGACUUAUAUAGGAAAGGAUGCACAAAAUGUGAUUCAUUUCCUGGUGGAUGUAUCAAUUGGCCAAGCUGCUGCUCGGUUGAUCAAUAUAGAUCAGAUAGAGGUUAUGUGCGGCAGGUUUGAACAACUUCAUAUCUCCACCAAACUAUAUCCCAAAAGCAUCCACUGUGACGUGUCAUUAAAAUACUGUGGCGUAUCUUCUCCUGAGGGUUCUCUUGCCGAGGUUAUAUUUUUUGCUUUUUAAUGAACAUAUUUUCUGCUUCCUGGCUUAUAUUUUUAAUGCUUUCUCUUCUGAUUCUUACAUAGUUACUAGUAAAUGGAUUUUUCUUACAGAGUGUCAUCAGUGAGGGAAAGAUUAAUGCUUUAGAAGCUAGUUUUGUUCAUUCACCUACUGGGGAGGACUUGGAUUGGUGGCUUGCAGCAAAAAUAGCUCCAUGUCAUGCUACGGUAUUUUUAUAAGCCCACGUUAAUAUAGAGUUGUCUUUUCGCAAACUGUGGGACGAUUAAUCUUUCUUAUUGUUCUAUAUUGAACUAAAUCAUGGAAUGGUUCCAUAAGUAAUGUCUAUGUAUUUAUGGCAAGGAUUUAAGUACCCAUUGGCAAGGAUUUAAGUGCUGUGGCAUAAGGUCGUGCCGGAAACUUGCCGGCACGGUGCGUGCCGAGCUGCGCUGAUGCGUGCCAGUCACAAAAAAUGUGUGGCAACCGGCAAGGAUUUAAGUGCCAUGGCACGGGGUUGUGCCGGAAACUUCCUGGCACGACACGGUGCGUGCCGGGCCAUGCCGAUGCGUGCCGGUCAUAAAAUAUUCAUGUGUGCCGACACAUAAUUGCAUGAAAUAUUUAUUUUUUUUAGUAACAAAAUAUUCUAAUUGUUUAUUAUGUAUUUUUAUUAAAUCUUUUGAACUUUAUUGAGAAAAUUACGUACUAAUUUAAAGAAUAGAGGGUUUUAAGCUAUGCCAUCGGCACAUGGGGCUGUAUCGUGCCGAUUUCUUAUUCGCAUGAUACGACACAGUAGAUACGGCCCGUGCCGAUGGACACUUAAAUCCUUGAUGUGUGCCGACACGUAAUGGCAUGAAAUAUUAAUUUUCUUUAACAACAAAUUAUGCCAAUUAUUUAUUAUGUAUUUCUAUCAAAUCUUUUGAACUUUAUUGAGAAAAUUACUUACUAAUUUCAAGAAUAGAGGGUUUUGAGUUGUGCCAUCAGUACGGGGGUUGUACCUUGCCGAUAUCUUGUUGGUAGAUAUAGCACGGUGGAUAUGGCCCGUGCCGAUGGGCACUUUAAUCUUUGGCCAUCAGCACAGGCCGUAUCCACUGUGCCGUAUCAUGCUAGCAAGAUAUCGGCAUGGUACAGUUCUCGUGCUGAUGGCACAACUCAAAACCAUCUAUUCUUUAAAUUAGUAAGUAAUUUUCUCAAUAAAGUUCAAAAGAUUUGAUAAAAAUACAUAAUAAAUAAUUAACAUAUUUUGUUGCUAAAGAAAAUAAAUAUUUCAUGCCAUUACGUGUCGACACAUAUUUUUUGUUACCGUCGUGCAUCAGCACGGCCGGGCACGCACCGUGUCGGCAAGUUUCCGGCAUGAUCCCAUGCCACGGCACUUAAAUCCUUUAUUUAUGGUUGUGUACAAACAAGGUAUAUACCAUAUAUAUGCUAAGCCUCUUAAAAGAUAAAGGAGGAAGCAGUUUUAAUCAAGGUUUAAAGUGUCGUGGCACGGGAGCGUGCCGCUGUCUGCUUGACACGUUACGGCACUGGCAUGCUUCUUUGCCGACAAAUGGUACGCUUGCGUGCUGAUGGAUACGUAUGACCUCCUUCUGGCACGCUUUGACACGGACGUAUUUCAGUUUUUUUGAUUCCAAUAAGCUCUUAUAAUGUUAUUUUGAAAGAUUUAAUCAAAUAAUUAUGAAUAUUUGCUAUGUAUAACUUACUAUACUAAUCAAUUAACAUAUUUAUAAGCUUUUUUGUAUGUAAAAUACAACUGCGCCUGAUGCAGAAUAAAAAUUUUUACAGGUUAGAAUUUUAAAAGUGCAAAGACAUCUUUCUUUCUUUCUUUUGACCAUAUUACAGUUUUUCUUUUAUAAAAUACCAAACAAUAAUGUUUAAAAUAAUUUUAAAAAUUAUGUAAAAAUUAUUUUAAAAAGUAUUUGAAAAAAAUUAAGUUUUAAUUAAUUUUUUCAAAAAAUUAUUAGAUCUAUAAAAAAAAUUAAGUAAUAAAUUAUAUGAAAAAUAAAUUAAAUAAAUUUAAGUAUGAAUUGAUUUAAUUUAGCUUUUAAUUUUAUUAGUAUUUUUAAUCUUCUAAUACAAAAUUAAAUUUUUAUGUUUGAUGUGCCUCAAAAUUUAUUUAUUGAGUUCAAUUUUGUUCCCUUAAUUCGCCAAAAAUUUUGCGGUGCGACAAAUUUUGAUAAAAUAACUUGUGAAAAAAAAUGGAUGUCUGUGGUGGAAGCAGAGGUUUCGGGCUAAUAAGAGGGGUGUGGGGGGCUUCGCCCCCUGCGGUAUGGAUUAGAUAUGUAAAUUAAAAAUGUCUUUAUAUUGAUGAACAAAAAAAAUUAAAUUAUAAUGUCUUUUAACUUACCUAAUAAGUAGAUCUUCGAUUUGCAAUGUUCUUGAGAGUGUUGGGAUGCUUCGUGGUAUCCCAAAGAAUAAAAAAAAAAGAAAAAAAAGCAAAAAGCGGAAAAAAAAGUGUUGGUGGCAUGGCACAGUGCUGUGGCACGGACUUGCGUUUCACUCUGUCUCGCCCGAUACGCAGGUCCGUGCCGCCGCAUAGAGGGGGGUUCGAGACCCCCCCUGUACCGUGCCACCUUUUUGGUGGCACGGGGCGGCACCGUGCCGGCCCGUGCUGUACAACACGGGGCAACACUUUAAACCUUGGCUUUAAUUACAAGAAAUGAGGAGCCUAUUCACAAGCAAUAGAUAAGAUGCUCAUCUGAAAUUCCUAUUAAUUAAGACAACAUGUCGCCUUUAGUCAAAUAAUUAUGAACAUUGGCUAUGUAUAGCUUAAUAUGCUCCCGAUUAAUAUAUUGGUAAGUUUUUUUAUAUGUAAAAUACAAGUAUACCUCAUAGAGAAUAAAAAUUUAAAAACAAUAAUAAAAUUCACAAGUACAAUAAUUAUUUAAAUUUACAUCUUUACAAAAAGAUGACUGCUUAGUUCUAUAUAGAUCGUAGCGGUGGAUUAUAUAGCAUAUUGUCAUCUGCAGAUACAAGAUUUAUUUGACAAUUUUAGUAUAGAUAUUUAUGGUAUUGUCAAAUUAAAUUGGCUAUAUAAUCUACUAUAAUCAACUAUAUAUUCUAAUAUAUCUAAUAAUACUAAAUCAAAAUUAUUUUAUAUUUAUGCUAAUUUACAAAUUCUAGAUUGGAAUAGAACAACUUAAGUAAUUCUAGAUUACAUUAGUAGAUUAAACUAAAUCAAAUUAGGAAACUUAAAUAUAAAAUAGAUUAGAUUAGAUUCGAUAUAAGAUUAAAAAAGGUAAUUUUAGAUUAGAAUUUUUAAACUAUUAAUUUAGGUAAUUUGGAAUUAUGUAAAUCGAAUUUAAUUAGUUAUAUUCUAUUAUAUUUAAUACUCUAAUAGAUAAUUCUAGAUUAGAUUUGAUUAGGUUUUGUACUUAUAAAUUGGAAUAGAUAAAUUUAAAUAUAUGUUAUAUUAGAUUCUAGAUUAGAUUAGAUUUGACUAGAUUUUAUAGAUUAGAUUAGGUAAUUCUAGAUUGGAUUAGUUUAGAUUCUAGAAUAGAUAAGAUUAGAAUCAUUAGAUAACUAAAUUAAAGAAAAGGGAGAGAAGGAAAUAACAAAAUAAAAAAAAACAAAUUAGCGAUAGAAUAGUAUGAUUUAGUUAUCCAAAGACUCUGAAAUUCUAAAUAACGAAUCAUAACAAAAAAAAAAAAAAACUUGGCACGAUCCUGCGGUUAAGUUUGUCUCGCGCGAUACCAGCGGGUAUCGCGGCACGGGGGGGUUCCUACUAGACUCCCCCUGUACCAUAUUGGGGGACGGCAUGGGGCGGCAAUUUAAUCCUUUCAUAUGUAGGUACUUGCCUAUUUCUGUGCUUUAUCACUUUUCUCUUGGAAGAAUAGCUAGUCGUCCACAGAAAUUUAGUCACUGUUGGGUAAAACGCAUUGCUUCUUCUGGCUUUUUAAUCUAUCAGUUAGUAGUUUUGUUCUUUUUAAGGGACUUUCUCACUGUUAGAUAGUGAUUUCAUACAACUUAUUCAGUCCAGUUCUGUCUUUCAAUAUUUUUAAUGUGUUCUUUAAACUAGUGAACCAAUUAUAUAUCUACCUUCUAUACCCUUUCAGCAGCAAUAUA